rnacentral:lncRNA from 1 species
GAAAUAUUGCUCCACAUGACAAUCUGAAUAGCUGGGCCCUUCGUGCUAUUCUCCACGAAACUAAUAAAGAAAGCCUAAAAAUCUUACUACAUUUAGAAUCAUCGAAUAAUCAAUACUUCAAAUACAGAAUAUAGCUUUUGAUGGGUGACAAACGGCAACAACAGUGGUAGAUGUGAAAAUUGAAAUUUUCAAUGUCUAAAUCACAAAAAGUUCUAUAAUUUACAAUAAUUCAUCAACAAUGCACAACUUUAAAUAAAUAAAAGUAAUGAGAUAGAAUUAAAAUCAACAAAGUUCUUCAUUGGCUAAACUGGAGAAUAAUACAACCGUGUCAAAACAGAACGCCAAAUAGAACCUUUCCUAAAAGGGGGGAGGAGAAAGAAAGAAAGGGAAUAAAAAGGGGGUAAAAAGCAAUAAAAAGAAAGUUUUAAACCCACCCCACAAAGAUCAAUUUUAGAUAUUGUUGAUGUCUAUGUUACAAAAUCUCAAAAAUUGGUAGAAUGUGCAUCCUAUGAGCAAGAACAUGAUGCAUCAUAUGAGUACACCUAAUGAAAGAAGAAAAAAGGAAAAAGAAGAAAAAAAUACACAUACAAUAUUCCGAGACGAAUAAAUUGAAGCAAAAGUGAUCAAAACACCUCAGCAACCUUACUUGCGAGUACGCGUUCUCUUCUUUCAAUAUAUCCAAACGGGAACCAACCUGCUUUACCUUUGCACUCUCCCUCGGCCCAACCAUUGUUCGACACCUGUUCAAAGAAAGAAAGAACCAAAUGAAAACACAAUCGGUAAGUAAGCAAGGUUCGUUCCAAAUCCGAAAGGAUAACUUUGAAAUGUUGCCAUUCAAAUAUUUAAGGGUGUAUGAAUUUAGUUUACAAUACAUAAACGCAUGUAACCUUUCUGACAACGACGUAGUCGCCAACUGAUAAAUUGAGCUCAACGUCUGACUCAGCUAGGUACGGAUGCAUAACCUACAAGAGAGAUGAUAAAACAAACAAGACAGUAAUUUACCCAAGAAAGGUAAGAAAGAACAAACAAAAAUUGCUCUUUGUUUCAAAACUACCCCUAUUCUUUCUAAAGUUGCGACAUUAUCCUUGACCUUACAUAAAUAUGUCAAAGCUACCUUUGGAGUAAAAAUUCGUUAGAACGUAAGAUCAAUUAUCAAAACUGGGAUUUGAAAGUGUGUCAGAGACCUGAUUGAAAUUGAAACUUGAAUACUACGACACUGUUGCAGCUCACCACUACAAUCGUUCCCAUUCAUGUCCAAAAUUCUAAUAGAUUUCUAUUGUGACUUUUGAAAGAAUAUAAUAUACGUAGUUCCCAAACAAAGAGCAAAGUUGGCUAGCAUUUUUAUAAAACAAAUAGACCAAAGAAAAAGGAAAUUGGCAAGCUACCUCUCCCAAAAAGUAACCCAUGGCAUCUGUUGAGCCAUUAUGUGCUUGAGAAGCAAAUACACCAUUGACUUCUUCAUAUGAUGGGGGAGGCGGCAUGCUAUUGUCGAUACUUGGACCAGGAGGAGGAGUCGGGGGAGCUUCAAUUCUCUGCCGCUCCAAUAUCAUCUACCAUCAAAAGAAUAUUACAUGCUUAAUAACUCUUCAACAUUAAGUGAAUAGCUUCAUAACCAAACUGGCACAUGAUUGCUACCUCGCCUUCAAGCUGAUCAAGUAUCUGAAGGACUCUCUGAUGAUAGGCACGUUCUGCUUCAACCUUCAAAAUACAGGAUGAUACAAUACCAUUAAUUUCGACCUUUGGACUCCUAAAAAUAAAAUACAUCUAAACAAAAUCAGAAAACCACCAAAAGUCCUGAUAACAUUAUACCCACCAUGGCAAUGAGUCGUUGGAGAGUUAGCCUCUGUUGUUGAGCUUCAACAGCAGCCAUGGCUGCUGCAGCUUCCUUUCCCAUUGUUGCCAUAUUUGACUUUAGAUCAUGCAAUUUCGCUUCGGCAGCUUCCAACUUCACAGUAAUCUCAGCAUUGCCCGGUGCUUCCCUAACUCUUGCCUGGCGCUUGAAAACCUCAAUAGCCUGUCUAGGUAGAACAUAAAGUGCUACUUAAUUAAACGUAGGAUGGAAUUGAAACCUUACCAAAGUACAUCACAUCCUGAGCCAAUAAAAAUAUAUAUUAACUUUUUUUUAAAAAAAAAGGCCUAUUUACAUAUCAAGAAUGAGAAAAGGUACGCAUGUAACCCUCAAUCCCAUUGUUGUAAUUUACAUCAAGUCAAGUCAUUUCCUACUAGUAAAUCCACAGUUUCUACUUAUUAUACUGUAGGACUCCAUCAAGAGAUAGGAAACUCCCACUCCCAUUUACUUAUUAAUGUAGAUCCACCAGUUUUUACCAUAGCAUUUUCCUUUCUCCGUAAUUUUAUUGUGGAUCCCAUACAACUGUAAAUUAGUUUCAUAUAGGUCAAAGUAGAUAACAUCGCUAGUAAUGAAUCUCAUUAUCAUUUGGAUUCCAUAAUUAUUUUAGUAAACCCAACAUAAAAUUUUCAGAUCCAUUUUUCACAUAUUUCAUAACAAUUUUUUUCCCUUUUCCUAUGCAUUCCGAUAAGCAUUUCAAUUAAUUUAAAUAAUGGAGGAUCUUAAAGUAUUGACGAAUUACCUGAGCUUCAGCUUCUUGUCGCAUUCUAUCAUAUCGUUGAGCAAGAUGUCGAGCAUCCUCCAAAGGAGCACCCAUAACCAUUGCUCUCAAUGGCUCUGCUACCUGUUAAUUGAAAUGUGUAAGUACACUUGAAUCACUGUCCUUAGUGAAUAAAGUAUCAUUUAAAGAGUUGCAACUCAGGAUGGAUGGGUUCCUCAUCAUUUCAACUCAGAAUGGGCAUAGUCCUUAAUUGCCUAUAUUCCUAACAAAGAGAUCUAACCAUGAAUUUUUAACCUGAAUGAGUUAUGCACGGCCCUUGUACUUUUCUAAAAAGACUAAAUCAUCUUUAAAAUUAAAUCAGCAAGAAUUUGACUAGCUAUAAUUCAAAUGACAUCUAAUCUAGCACAGAAAUCCAUAAUCUAACCUGAGUGCCAAGAGCCUUCAGCAUGUUUCCACGUUCUUUCUCCAUUUGAGCUCGGGCUCGCCCAUAAUUUAAUGCAGCUUUCGAUAACGUGCUGCCACUAGUACAUGUAUUUUCAGCACCAUAUUUCCUGCUAUCCUCUGACAACUUUGUUCCUAUCGAAUAAUGAGAACAAACAGAACAAUGACAAAAUGAUCUAAAUGUUACAAACAAAUAUUAUCUAAAUCUCAAUUCAAUUGUAAGACUUUAAACUCAAAGAUAAUUAUUUUUAAAUAACAACAAUGGUUAAAAAAAUAAAAGAACUUACCUAUUUCGACUUGUUUUGAACCGGUUACAAUAUAUCCCUCUACUCCUCGUACAAUAUCCCUUUGAAAGUGCUAAAAGAAGAAAAAAAUUCACAUAAAUAUAGAAACAACCAUUUGAAAAGAUAAAGAAGUGAAACCAUAAGGAUGAGUAGCAACCUUUCCAGCACGAGUUGAUAUAUACAACUUUUCUAGUUUUUGGUGUUGGUGAAGCUCCGCCUCAUCCGUAAUAAUGUUAUCCGAACCUCCAUAUCCUCCAGCACCAAACUGUUUGAGUACAGCCUACAAUACAAAAUGAGGUUGCAUUAUGUCAUUGACUUUUCUAGCAGUACCAAUAAUACACAAAUAAAAUCUAAGCUAACCACUCUUCCAUUAAAAUUACGAUAAGCAACCAUGAAUAAACAAAUGGAGAAGAGAUAUGAUCAGGAAAUGGAUCAGAAACACAUUCCUUCAACUUCUUUUCCAUUUCUAUCUACUUUCUGAAGAGCAUUUCUUCUGAAUAAGACACUCACCCACAACUCUUUAAAAAGCAUAAAGUUACAGUUACCUAUCACAUCAAUCCUGUUACAAUAAACAAAAAACUACCGGCUCCUAGCUGAUAAGAAAUGCCGCGGAAAACACAUUCAUCUCUAUCUUUAAAUUAUCCACCAGCAAAAGAUAAACGAAGAUUAGAUAAUCAAAGAUUUAACUUCCAGAUCCAUAAAUUCGUAAAAAAAAAAAGUCAUGAAUCAACAAAAGCAUUGACAUCCGAAUCAAAGUCACAUAACCAGGAGUAGCAUUAUCGAAUAUUCCGAAAUAAAGAGAAAAAAAAAACAAAAAAACAAAAAACAAAGAAGCUAAGGCAUGAAAGAAGAAGAAAAAUAUUUACAAAAAUGAAGAAGAAAGCUUGAAGAGAUUGAAGAAAACACAGAAAUGGAUCUAAGCAAGAGGAAAGAGUUUAGGGUUCGAUCGGAGGAGGGGGAAAAAAAACCUGUUGCUGGCGAGCGACCUGUUCACGGAGCUUAGUGGCUUGCUUUCGGAUGGCAUCCAUACGACGGGAGGAAUCUGGGCGGGCGGGAAUCGGAGGAGAAACGGCGGGGGGAUCGGAGAAGGAAGAAAAAAUAAGAUGAGAAGAGAGAGAGAGAGAGAGAGAGAUGAAAGGUUUUUGUUUUUAAAUAAUUUGAUUUAGUUUUUGAAAAUUGGGAAGAGAAUGAGAUGAGCACUUGAGGCUUUCGGAGGCUUCGUAUUUACAUUUGUCUCUCUUUCAUUUUCAUUACCUAAAAUCCUUUUUUUCAAAAAACAAAUGAAAGUUUCUUAAUUUCUUUAUGUACAAAGUUAUGAUUAUUUACUUUUAUCCUAAAUUAAUCCUAAGAUGGUUUUUUAGUUUUAAAUACUAAAAUUGUCAACAAAAAAAACGUUCGUGUAAAAGAUUACGUGAAAUUCACCGACUCCUUAAACCAAACUAGGAGUGAAUUAGUUUAUAUUUAUCGUAGUUUAUAAAAUUUUAUUAUAUUUGUAAAAACAUUGACUCGUUUAUGUAAAAGUAUCCAAAUGUUUUUUCCCUAAAGUUUAAUUCGAAAAUUGUCUCCAUCUAAUAUUUGACUUUUACUUUUUUAUUUUUAAAAAGAAUUCAAGAAAGGGCAUAGAUUCAAACCUUUCUAAUUUGACUUUGAGGUGGAUAGUUUGAUAAUCAAACUUCGAGAUAGAAAUAUAUUACGUUUGAAUUAGUUCGACAUUUUGGAAGUUUAAGUUCUAUUCAUGCUUUUAAAAAUUAAACAUAUUUUAUCAUCUAAUCUAAGAAUGAUUUGCAUUUUUCAUUAUAUGAAUACUUAACCAAAUUUAAAAAUAAAAAUAAUUUUUUGAAAGUUUCCUUUUUAAGUUUUAGUAAUCUAUAGACUUAAUUUUAAAAUAACAAAAUAGUUAUCAAGCAAAACUUAGUCUUUGAAGUUUCAAAACUAUGCUUUCUUUAAUUUAAAAAAGUGUUAAGAAGAACAAGUUUUUAAUUUUGUGUUUAAUAAGUUUCAAUUUUGUUCUAACGUUUAGUCCACUCAAUAACGAAAAAAACAUAAAAAAAAAGAUCGAAAAAUUAGAUAGUGAUAAACCAACAAACUUAUAGAUAAAAUUAUAACAAGGUAAGAAUCUCUCUUCCAAAUUGACAGUGUAGGUUAAAUUAUGAAAUUCAAAACAUGAUUGGAAUCUUUUAUCAUCUUUUUAAUUUGAAUUUUCUUAAAAGUUAGAAUUGGAAUAUAAUGAGAAAUAUUGGUUUAUAAUAAUUAUAAAUAAUGGUGCCAACCAAUGAAUUGAGAGCUUAGCAAUAUUGUGGCGUAUAAAAUAAUCUACCAUUUUUAUUGCUAUCAAUCAUUACUUCCAUACAAGGAAAAUAAUCAUAAAGUAUACAUUUCAUUAUACUAUAAAGUCCAAUUCCAUAUUAAGGUUUCAUCUUAAUAUAUACUUACUAUCUUUUUAUCUCUCAAAGUGCGUGAGCAUGCCUUAGCUUCACAUUUUUCAAUAAUAUCCUUUUUCUUAAAUUUUCAUCAUUUCUUCCUUUUCUUACAAGCAGACAUUUUCAACUUUUUAUAGAAUAAAGUUCGACAAAAUAAUAAAUAAAUCAAAAUUAAUAUCUAACAACAACUUUGCUUAAUCGACGUUAGAGGUUAAUUGUUUAAACUCAUUCACCUUCGAUUUGUACUAUUGAUACCUUAAUUAGUAAGAGUAUUCAACGAUUGUGAUUGGAUAUGUUUGGUUAUGAGUUUGAGAAUGUUUUUUAAUUUUGUUGAUACAAAAAUGUGUGUGAAAUGAAAUCGCAAAUCUCUUAAUCGUUAAUAUAUAGUUGAUAUCGAUUUAGGUAAGCUUGUUGUUUAUCAAUUAUUGUUAUGUAUUAUUUUUUUCUAGACUUGUGUGAAUGAAUAUUCAUCGGCCCUGAUAUUAGGUCAUGUUUACCGAUUCGUAAUGAAAUUUUGUAUGAUCGUAACGAAAUUUCAUUAAUAGAUUAAUUGUAAUAAACUCCAAUAUACAGUACUAGUUUUUUUUUUUUUUUUUUUUGUAUUUACCCAAAUUAGAACGGUAACAAUGCAAUGUAAUUUUCAAACGCAAUCAAAUUAAUCAACAAUUUGUCAAUUGAAUUAUAACAGUGUUGUUGAUUAGAGUAAUUUAACUUCAUUUGUGAUUUUCUUUUUUUACUUUAUUCGAUGUGUAUUUUGAAUUUAAUAUGGUUUAAAAUAAUUUUGUUUUAUUUUUUUACGUUGAUUUUGUUUUGGUUUUACUUUGUUUAAGUUUUGUAUACCAUAAUUGUUAUAUACUUAUAUUAUGUAUUAGUUGGUUGAUAUACUUAUUACAUAGUUUUCAUUUUUUUUUUUUCAAAUUUUAUGAAGUUCAUUAUAGUAUUAUUAUGUAUAUGAAUAAUAUAACGCAAUAUAUCAUUAUCAAGUAUAUCAACAACAUAUUGUUAAAGCAUAUCAGCAAAGUGAAUUGUUAUCAAGUACAUGAAUCAAGUUUACAAAUGUAUAUCAAGUGUAUAAGUAGGAUUUCAAGCAUAUCAAAUGUAUUUAAUCAAUCAAAUUAUAAGUGAACAAUACUAAUUAAGUGUAUUUGCAUAGUGCAUCGAGUGUAUCAAAUAUAUCAUGUACAUCAAACGUAUUAAAUUUGUUUAGUGUACCAAUGAAGCAUAACAAGUUUACUAGUGGUGUAUCAAGUGUAUCAAACUUAUAAGUGGAGCUUUUAAGUGUAUCAAACUAAUCAAGAGUAUCAAGGUCUAAGGGGUAUCAAGUGUAUCGAGAAAAAUCAAGUGUAACGAGGAGUAUCAUGCGUAUCAAGAUGUUUCAAGUGUAUAUCAAAAGGUAUCGAGUGUAUCAAAGAGUAUUAGAUGCAUCAAGUGUAUCAGCAAGAAAUAUCAAAUGUAUCAAGGGGUAUUAGGUGUAUCAGACACGUAUAAAGUGUAUCAAAUGUAUAUCAGUAACGAAGGACAUUUGUGACAUUUUAGUUUUUGUCACUUUUGCAAAUAAUAAAGUAUAUGUACUAUGAACUUAAUUAUUAUAACUUGUUUUGUUAUUUUUGUGAGUGCUAUAUAUAUAUAUAUUAGUAAACUUUAUAGUUUAGGUUAAAAAUACCUCUAAACUUUUAAAAAUUUAAAAAAUGUUUUUCAAACUUUUAAAAAGAGUUUAGAUGAAAACCGUUAAAUUUUUGUUUGCUUAAAAAAAACAAUGUAAAAUUUUCAUAAGUAUUCUUGAGUUUUUUUUUUUAAAAAAAACUAUCAUCCAACCAAAAUUUUAAGUUAAAAGAGAUUUCUUUUAUAAUUAUUUUAGUAUGUUUUAAGAGAAUAUUUUAAAAUUUUGAGAUUUGGUUGAAUUUUAUGUUAAAGUAUAAAUGAAUAAAUCAAACUCAUAAUUUUACUAAAAUUUUAAUUUUGAUAAAUAUUUAUGAAAAAAUUAUCAAGUUCAAAAUUUAAAUUUAAGUUAGUAAAUAAAUAUUUUUUCACUUUCAAAUAAAUAAAUAUAAACAUGUGUAUUAUAUUUAUAUAAGUACCAUUUUUAUAUUUAUCUAUUAUGAUUUAUGAAUUUGAUUCACCCCUUCAACCAAUAUAAAUAUCAACAUAUCAAUAUAAAUUUAAACAAUGAUGAAAUUAAAUUUAAGUUUCCAUUUUAAAUGAUAAAAAUUUAGUCUAAAAAUUAGAUUACUUAAUUGAAGUAUUCUUUUAACUUUUUUAAGUUAAGACAUUUACAAAACUUUUAAAUGGUCUAGUGACAUUUUUAAAACAAAACUUCAAGGGUUUUAUUUUAUCCAAACUCACGAUAGUAUUUAAUACUCCUCUCAAACGUCAUUUUUUUUACCCAAACCUAUAUACAUCUUUUUUUUUUAUAAUUUAGGCAUGUCUAUCAGCUGAGAAUUUGUUAUAUAUAUAUAUUUCGGAUAUUUUUUUUUGGUUGCCAACAAAUGUGCUAAUAUUUAAAUUGAAGAAUAUGUGUUCUAAUAUUGAAAUUUAAACAUUUAAACUAUAGUAGAGUUUUCUUAAGGAUACUCAAAAUUUCUUUUAAAUGGGAAUUUAUUGGAGAAUUUGCACCUAAAUCACCACAAAAUUAAAUGAAAGAUUUUGUGGGAACGAAUAUGAAAUAGAAAGGAAGGGAUGAUGACAAAGAUGUCAUUUCGACCUACCCUGCCAUGAACAAAAGUUGUAUAUGAGUUAGAGUUAAUUCUUUAUAGAAGAUAUGAAUUUAAAUGUAAUGUUCUAUUUAAAUAUGUAAUUGAGAAACAAUUAAACUACACAUUAAGAAACAAUUCAUUUCUUCUUCUGUGCCAUCUACAAGACAAAAAUAAUAAUAUCAAGAAACCAAACACGACCUCAGACAACACGACUUAAAAAGGGAAGAACCUCAGACGAACCCUAAACCAUCAAACCUAACCACACAACAAAUCACUAGGGGUGGAAGUUAGUAUUGUGGACAGAGAGGUUAUGCUCAUGAUAAAGAUGAAAAAUGAUAGCAUGACAGUUAAGCCACACGAGUCAAUAAAGUAAUAAACCUAGGAGUAUUUCAAGUGUCGAAUUCCUCAAAGACUAUAUCCAAUUUAGAUUCUCAGAGGCAAUGCAAACAAUGUAAUCAAUAGUAACUAAAUGUGAGAUUAGGUUGACUGUUGAUUAAAACAGUAAACAAGAAGUGGUAACGAGUGUCCUAAGAGACAACAUUGAUAACUCCCUCGUCACAAAGUUCCUUUGGAUAUUUGUUCACUUAUUGUUGCUAAUCAACAGUCAGCAACUUUCAUUCUUUAUAUCAACACUAAUUCUAGAGUCAAAGUUUUCCAUUUGGUUUUCAAAAUAGAAAUAUUUCUGAGGCAAAUCAAGAGGUUCUAUCAUUCCAACACCAAAUCCAAAACAAAGUAGCAAUUAAGUUAAAAAUCUUUCUCCAAGAAGAUGAGCAUAUAUAGAAACGAGAUUAAGAAUUAGUAUUUCAAAAUCCGUUGUAGGUUACCUAAAAUGGAGAAGAAAGAAAAAUUUAAGGACUACCAACUUGACCAUACAAAGUAAAAAGGGCAUAAUCAACCUAAAGAUAGAUCUGAACUCAAUUCCUGUAAGAUUCCAUUCACCAAGAAGAAGAUGAAGGUGAUGGUGGUUUUACUCUGUUGCUGGGCAGCUUUGGUGGCUGUUGAGGAAGACUGUCAAGUAUAAGGACCCUAUACAGCCACUUAACAUCCGGAUCAAGGACCUGAUGGAAUGAAUGACUCUAGCAGAUAAGGUUGGGCAGAUGGCACAGUUGGAUUCUUCGGCCACCACACCGGAAAUCAUAAGAGAUUACUCCAUUGGCAGUGUGCAACGGAGGCAGUACCCCAUCUCUACAGGCUACUGCACAGGAGUGGAUUGACAUGGUGAAUUCCUUCCAGCAGGCCACAUUAUCAAGUAGGCUUGGAAUUCCAAUAAUGUAUGGUAUUGAUGCCGUCCAUGGUCACAAUGGCGUCUACAAUGCUACCAUCUUCCUCAACAAUGUCGGUCUUGGUGCAACCAGGCGAAAAUAUAUGAGAGGAGGAUCUAAACUUUGUUUUCACAAACUCCCAAUGCCAUUUGGAGAUAUUGGUGGUUAAAUAGUUUUCUCAUGUGACAGGGAACCUGAACUUUUAAGAAGGAUUGGUGCUGCUACUGCUAAAGAAGUUAGAUGAACUGGGAUAGAUUAUGUCUUUGCUCCAUGCAUAGCAGUAUGUUUUCUUAAAUUCAUUUCCCUUUAUUUAUAUAAACUUGUCUAGUUCAAAUAGAACGAUGAGCAUUUUCAUUUCAGGUCUGUAGAGAUACGAGAUGGGGAAGGUGUUAUGAAAGCUACAGUGAAGAUCCUGACAUUGUCAAAGAAAUGACAGAUAUCAUAGCUGGGUUGCAAGGACAAACCCCAUCUAGUUCUUCAAAAGUUAUUCCUUAUGUUGUUGGAAGGCAAGUUUUCAACCACUAAAGAUUUGGACAGAUUUUCCAUUCUACAAAACCUACUCAAAAAACCUCUUGGCCUUGCAACAGAGAAAAGGUUGCAGCUUGUGCAAAGCAUUUCUAUUUUGUAGGCGAUGGCAGGACAACAUGCGGUAUCAAUUAGAACACAGUUAUCAGCAAGCAUGGAUUGUUACGCAUUCACACGCCAGGAUACUAUCACUCUACAAUCAAGGGUGUCUCUACAAUAAUGGUUUCCUACUGAAGUUGGAACUGUGAGAAUAUGCAUUCAAACCAUGAACUCGUCACUGAUUUGCUUAAGAACAGACUAAACUUCAGGGUAUGUAUUUGCACUAGAUCCUCAUGAAUAAUAAGCCUAUACAAUGACAAUCCCCUAAAUUUGAACACACGUAACUAUUGCAGGGUUUUGUAAUCUCCGAUCAAGAAGGUAUUGAUAAGAUCACAGACCCAGCUCAUUCAAAUUACACAUUCUCAAUUCUCUCUGGAGUUUAAGCUGGAAUAGACAUGGUAAGAUAAUCAACAUAAGCAAUCCAAUCAACAUAGCAUCUAUACAUCUUAUAAAACUAGUUUUAUUGUCGUGAUUAAGAUUAUGGUUCCUGCAAAUUACACUGAGUUCAUCGAUGGCCUACCUACCUUAUCGUUAAGAACGUUAUUCUGAUGUCCUGAAUCAACGACGACGCCGUGAGAAGGAUUUUGAGAGUCAAGUUUAUGAUGGGCCUGUUUGAGAAUCCAUUGGCGGGUGACAGAUUUGUAAAUGAGCUUGGAAGCCAGGUUAGUUGGUCUGAAAAGACAAGGAAAUGUACUUUAAAAUUGAAAUAUUAUACCAAUUCAAAUGAACACUGAACAGGGACACAGAUUUGGCAAGAGAAGCAGUGAGGAAAUCACUUGUUCUAUUGAAGAAUUGCGAAAAUGCUGAUGAAACAGUUCUUCCUCUGUCAAAGAAAGCACCAUAGAUCUUAGUAGCCGGAACUCACGCCAACAAUCUGCGGCGGCCGGACAAUCACCUGGCAAGGACUCAGCGGACAAAAAUCUAACAACCGGAACCACCAUUCUCGAGGCAGUGAAGAAAACCGUUGAUCCAAACACGGAGGUCAUCUACAACAUAAAUCCAACAACCGAUUACUUCAAGGCGAACAACUUCUCGCACGUCAUUGUGGCUGUAGGAGAAACGCCGCACGCCGAGCCCAAAGGCGACAACCUAAACCUAACUAUCCCCGAAGGAGGCUCGGACACGAUCCAGAAGGUGUGCAUCGUUGUCAUCGUCUCCGGCCGGCCUCUGACGAGGCAGCAAUACACGUCACAAUUGGACGCGCUGGAGGCGGCGUGGCUGCCGGGAACGGAAGGGGAAGGCGUGACGGACGUGCUGUUGGGAGAAUAUGGGUUCACCGAAAAGCUGGAGAGGACGAGGUUCAAGACUCAAGAAAAAGAUGGUUAGGAAUUUUGUUUAUAAAUAAUUAGGGUUUCUUUGGAAAUUAAAUAAAUAACUAUUUUUUUUUUUUUUUAUGGAAAGAUGAUAUAAUGUAUUGCAAAAUUGUAUGAAAUAAAAUUAAGUAUAAGAGGUAGAGUUCACCUACCAAACCAAACAACUAUAACCACAACUCGUUUUGUUUCAUUUCUGAUCGAGAAGAAACCAUUAAAAUCAAAAUCAAUUUUCUAUGAUAGUAUCUAUUUCAUUUGUUAAGAUCAUUGUCAUGUUUAAUGAUCAUUGUAAAGCCUUUGAGAUUGUCGUUUCUCCAAUUUAGAUUGAAAAAAUUGUGCGAAUAAAGGUUCAAGUUUUGGUUGAUUUGCUUCAUUUUGGUUAACAACAAAAGUAACUCAUCGUUUAUGGCUUAACUGUUUAUACAAAUUUGGAUAUUUGACAAUUUGCAUUGAAGACUACCUUUCAAGGGCGGAUUUUGCCAUUUUCCAUUUUUUACUUUGUCCUUCAGUUUUAUCUUUGUUGCAUUGAAAAAGUAAUAUUUUUGUAGACUUGUAAUAGAAUGAAUCUAACCAACGUUUGAAAUAGAUAGAUAAUAAAAUUUUAUGUUAAUUUCGAUAAACGUCGAACAUUUUACACUUUUUAAACAAGUUAACAUUUUUAUUGUUUUUUUAUAUUCAAUUUAGCAACAUUUUUUUUUUCACGUUUCAUUGAUUUUUUUUUCUGUAAUUAAAAUGUCGCUCUAUCUUGCCUCGUGAAAAUUUAGAAAAUGCCAAUGAAAAUAUCUACAUAUAAACAAAUACAUAUCACCACAAAUUUAACCAAAUGAUUUUUUCUUUCAUUUUUUUAUCAACCAUCCAUGCAAAACGUCUUUUUAAAUUUGUUCCCUCCGAAUUAAAACAAUCUAAGUUAAAAAACACUAUAUAGCUAAGAACAUCUUGCAUUAUAAGGUCGAUAUAAAAGUUUCACAACAAAAAGAAAAAAUACUUCUUUUCUGACCCAUUUCUAAAAACUUUCUCUUAGAUACGUAAAGGAGAGGAUAUGAACAAAAGUCAUUACUUUACGUUCAACUAGCACUAUAAAAACCUAUUUACCAAUAGAAGUGGUAGAAUGAUUCUGAACACUUUAGCUUGGACUACUAGCACGUUUUUUUUUUCUUAUCUUUUAUUCACUCGUGAUUUUGUUACAACAAGGAAGUUUGCCCCUUUGUUUGUGGGUCACGCCUUAUCACAAGCACUAAAAGUAGAAAUAUGAAAAAACAUAAAGAUAAGAUAAGAUUGAAAUGUUAUGUAUCAAAAGCAUCGACGAAAGGUGAAUAUUUAUACCAAAAGUUUUACAACACAAAACUAUGGUUAAAAUUUUCCUCUCUCCUAUACAUAAAUUACACGUUUUAACAUUAUAUUCUUUAAACUAUUAGGAAAAACUCAAAAUUUAAUAUUUUAAAAAAUUACUCACUUCUAAAAAAUAUUAAAUAUUAAAAUGCAAUAAGAAAUGGUUAGUUUAGUUUAGUUGAAAUUAUUUGUAGUACAACUUUUGUUUUCAAUUAACUUCAUCUAUUAAUUAGUAUUUAAAUCUAUUAGGUUGAUUUCCAUUAGUUAAUAUUUUGUGUGGUUUCUUGCUUGGAUUUUAAAAAUAAAUUAUUACAUAGAUUAAUUUUUUUUUCUUACAUUAAUUAUAUGUCAAAUUGCCAUAGUAUUAAUUGAAGAUGGAGUGGGAAAAGGUUAAUAAAGUCAACUUGACAUAUCCACCCUCUUUAUCAUAAUUUCUUUAAUAAAAUUCUAAUAUUUACUGAUAGAAACCAUUUGAUUGAAGAAAAGAAACUAAAUUAAAUAUUCUUAAAAACUAGUUUAAAAAUUAUUUUAGUCAAUUAAUUACCUUAAAAAACAAAUAAAAAAUACUUCGAUUUAUAAGUGUAAGAAUAACUCAACAAUCGAACUACUCAACUCAUAUUAUAAAAGUUAGGUUGAGCUGAGUUUAAAAUUUUGAUUUUUUUCAAAUUGGAUUGGGUAUCGGAUUGUAUAUAUAUUUAUAUUAUAUAAUUUUAAAUAUUAAUUUAAAAAAUGUUGGUUUAUACUUAAGAUGAUAAUCGAAAAACCCAACCGAUUAGAAACGGGAUGAAAAGGGGAUCUAAUGAAUUACCAAACACAUUGAGUGGGUAAAAUUGGUUGAAGAGUUGGUAUUUUGAAUUCCUUUGAUAAAACAAUACAUAGAUUGACAUCUUCCUUUUGACCCCUUUAAUGAGCAAUAAAUUAUUGCACUAUUUAUUCAUAAUUUAAAUCCCUACAUUCCAAUUAACUUUAUUUUAAAAAAAAACCCACUAGCUCUUGGAUUUUGCCUACCUUUCAUCAAUGGAAAUAGAUGAUAAGGGCAGAUUUGUGGAAAAACAAUGACACCAUUUUUGAAAGACAAACAACAUGUGAUAUGUGGAGUGGAGUGUACUUUAUGUAAAAAUAAAGCCUUUUGGAGAGAUGCUUUUCAUAUUUUCCUAUUUCAAAUAAACUAAUGUUUACUAUUCAAUUAGCAUUAAAUUAAUUAUAAAUCUCAACUUGUUUGAAGCUGUAGACAUGAAGGAUUUUGUUUUUUCAUGUGCAACAAUGAAGGUUAUGAGGCCAGCUGAAUUCAAUUUGUUCUUUAGAGAAAACUCAAUGUCCGACAAAUGUUUCUAUGUUAUUAAUAGAAGAUAUAGAUCGAUAGAGUUAAUUGGAAGUCAACUCGAGUGUUGAGUUCAUUCCUUGUAUAAUUCGGUGGAUGAAGUGAGGAUUUGUUGAUUGAGAUACUUUGAGAUCUUUUUAGAGCGUUGUUGGUCCAUAAAUUCUCUACAAACAUAAUAUCUAAAUACAUAAUUUACAAAAGGAAUUGGUCAACUGGGAGAUUUUGUUAGUGUCAACAUCACACUCUAAAAUUGAAUAUUCUAAUAAAAACAACUAAGUAUGCUGCUAGAGGAAUUUGAAAUUUCUAAAAAUUGGAAGGGUGGAAUUAUUAAAUAUAAAAGUUAGGGUUGAUUAAGAUAUUUGUAAAUAGGUGGUAAUAAUUCAAUAGACCAAAAGAAAAAGGAAGUUGUGCUGUAAAGAGAUAUGGAAGGUGAGAAGCAUGAUACUAUGUCAAAAGCAACAAAUUAAAAUAAUAGUUAUAAUAAUUAUAAAAAAAUUACUUUUCAUAAUUAUAUUUUGAAUCUAGAUUUUAAAUAUUUUAAAUGAAUAUCAGUACAUACAUUUCAUAAUGUGUUGAUUUGAUUCACUAAUUUUUUAUCGUUAUAUUUUAAUUUUGUAUAUUUUUAAUUAUUCAUUGUAUGUCUCUGAUAUUGAAAUGAGUGAUCUCUCAAUUUUUACUUUUGUAAAUUAGUUUUAAAAAAAAGUAAAUGUGAACAUUUCUUCAAAACAUAUAUAUAAAAAAACUAAGAUAACAAAAACAAAAAAGUGCGAAAAAUAACAUUAUUAAAUUCAAUAAUCAAAUAAAAGUUAAACUUAAAAUUCGAAAUUAAAAUGUAAGAAGUAAAUAAAAACUAAAUUACAAAACAAUAUAUAUAUAUAUAUAUAUAUAUAUAUAAUGAAAAGAAAUGUAAAGAAGACGAUAAGUUAGAGAGGAUAGUGGACAAUGAAAAGGCCUUUGCUUUCGUCAAAGAUGGCCGAACAUUGGUUUUCCCAAAUUAAAUUAAUUAAAUCAAAUCCAUUGCGCGUCACUCUUUUUUUCUAUUAAAUACAUUUUACAAAUCAUCAUUUUUUCUUUAAUAACAUCAGUAAAUAAUGGUUAUUAGUAAUUUCACAAAAAAUAAAAAAUACAAAAUUAUGCCUUUUCUUUUAACCCUUUCAAUUUUUUGUUAUCUUUUAAUGUUUUUUUUUUUAAAAAAAUAAGUUCAUUGUUUUAACCAACAAAGAAUUCAGUCAGUACCCAAACAAAUUGUUUUUAAAAAUUAAUUUUUUAAAAAGAAGAAGAAAACAAACAGAUUAGUGAACGAACUCUUGAUUUGUAGUGAGAAGUGAAGAGUUUGGUGAAUAGCUUGUUUUGAAUAAGAUUGAAGAAUGACAUGAAGAUGAUGGGUCAUACAAAAAUGUGUAACUUUACUUCAUUUUCAUUUUUAGAUUCAUGUUUCUUUCCUAUCCGACUCCAAAUUCAAGUAUAAUUCAAUAAAUAAAAGCAUAAAUUUAUUUAAUUUCAUCUCGUAUUAGAUUUUAAAAUAUAAAACAAAAUGUUUAAUCCUACAAAAGUAUAUCAAAUACACUAUUUAUUAUUGAUAAAAUUUAAAAUUUUACUAUAUUUUAUAAAUAUUUUAAUUUAUUGUUAUAAAUAGAAAAAUGAUUUAAAAUAUUCCUAAAUUAUAACAAAAUUUCAUAACUAUACUAAGGUAAAGUAUUUUAUAUUUUAUUAUAUUUUAAAAUAAUUGAGAUAUUUUAAAGUUGAACUGAUAAGUAUAAAAACAAAAGUAAUAUUAUAAGGAAAUAAAAAUACAAAACCUAAAAAGGAAAACUGACUUCGAACCCUAUGACAUAUUCAUUAAUAUGAUGUGAAGUAUAACUAAAUUUGUUAAUACAAUGUAUAUUUUUUUCAUAUAGUAUUUUUCGUUUUUUCAUUGAAGCAACAUUAUUAUUAUUAUUAUUAUUUGCUAGAGCAAAUGAGCUUUUUUAUAAUUGAUAUAAUUCUGUAAUUCGAUAAAGUGUGCCUUUAUAUAUCGAAAAAAUUUAAUACAUUAUGGAUCUAUUAGAUAUCAAAAUGAAAACUUUCAAACUUAUUAGUAAAAAAAAUGAAAAAAUAAAAUUAAAGACUAAAUAAUACUUUAUGAAAUUUGAAAGUGUGUUGCAAUAAGUGAAUUUUAUAAUUUAAUCAGUUAAGUGUGUUGUGGUAAGGCAGUAGAAAUAAACUUUAUAUUAAAAAAAUGAUGACAUUUUGUUUGUUAAAUAUGCAUGCACAUUCGAAUUUUGUCAUUCGAUAUUUUAGGUUUGUUUUUUACGUUUUUGAAUUUUUUCUUAUUCUUAUUUUUCUACAAUUUUUCUUUUAUAUAUUUUUUGAAAUCAUGAUUUUUGUUUUCAAUCAAUCAUCAAUUGUGUUUUUUUCAAGUGUUAUUUUGUUCAAGAUUGUGUAGCAGUGUUAUUAAAUAGUGUAUCGAAUAUUUGAUAGACAAUCUUAAACAAAAAAAAAAAAAUCAUUGAGAUAGUAAGACAAGAUAAGAUUAAAAUCGUGUACUAAAUAUUUGAUAUAUGAUCGUUUAAAUUUGGGUAUAUGAUCUUGUACGAUCUUAAACCAAAAUUAUUUAAAUUUGGUACGCGAUUAUAUAUCAUUUCUACAUGAUGACGUAUUAGAAUAAGAAUUAUCUACACGAUCAUGCACUAGAAUAAGAAUUAUCCACACAAUUAUGUAUUAGAAUAAGAAUUACACGUGUGUGACCAAAUUAAUGGCUAGUUGAUGAUGACAUUUUUUGCAUUUCUGUUAUCGGGUGGGCUUUUUUCAUUUGAAAUGGUUCACAUACAAAUUUUAUUUUCAUCUUUUCAAAUUUUAUUUUCGUUUAAAUUUUUCAUUACUAAGUGUGUCUUUCUUUUAUUUUUUUUCUAAAUGGUUGAAAAUAUUUUUGGACUUGUUUGUAUUUUUGAAAAAACUGAUUUUAAAAGAAGAAAAAAAAGUAUUUUGAAAGGAAAGGGGGGAGAUAAAAGGUCAAUAAUGGAAGGCGCUGAGGGUGGCUGCCAACGCGAGUUUCCAUAAUAUUCUGCCACCUAAUCAAUCACAAAUGAACACAACAUCACAAAACCAUUCUCCUUGUGCAUUGCACGCACCCACACACCAACUCUCCGAUUCAAAAAGCUACCCAUCGCACGGUGCACAACAAACACUCGCCCCUUUCUUUAGAGUGGGGGGAACAAAUCAGUCCCACAAACUCCGCCACAAACCCAUGCGUUUAAAACUAUAAAUUUAAACCCCCAAAAAGAAAAAAAGAAAAGGCAAUCUAGAAUGAAUCGUAAUUAACGCGGGGGCAAAAAUCCCGAAAAGGAACAAAAAGCCGAAAUUUCAAUUGCUGUAAAUAUUAGAAAUUUCAACGCUCAAUUUUGGAAAUUUUAAUUUAACGAUUGUGACCUUAUGGACACACCCACACACACACACACACCAAUUUAUCAAUUAUCCCCACAAGGCCUUUUCUUUCCUCGUUGCUUCCUCUUUCUAUCUCUUUUACUUUUACUUUUUUACUUUUCACUCCUUUCCUCUCAAUUUAUAUCUGCCUUCUAAUCUCCACCCUUCAUUUCCAUAUCCAUCUUAUCUGUGGCUCCCACCCUUCUUUUGGAUUCUCAAUUUUAACUAUCCAUGCAUUUGUAUUUUGUACUGAAUGUUAAUGGAAUUGAAUAUACCAUGUUCUAUCAUGUGAUUUUUAAUAUUAAUCUGUGAUAAAAUUUAGUUAGCAUUCAUACUAGACACGUCAACAUCCUCUUUUACCUUCCAUGAAAACAAAAUACUUUCUUAAGUCAUGGGUUUAGAUCAUACCUCCAAUUACCUCCACAAUAGUGAUGUCGUUGACUUCAAUAUAUAUUCUUAUGACUUUACUUUCGGCUUCUCCUAAAAUACUUUGUACUAGUGAACGUGGUUGUUGUCUCUUAAAUUAUCUUCUUAUUUAGUUGAUGGGGGACUUUGAUUGCAUUUCUAUCUAACAUUAGCUUUGCAAUUUUGAACUUGUGACGAUCUAGACUUGGUCGUGAAGAUAUUACUAACAUUAGUGAAUUUUCCAAUGUUUAAAAAGUAUAAAGAUUAGAUUGUUACAAAUUAAAAAAUAUAGUGACUAAAUGAUUAUAAAUUAAAAGUUCAAAGACUAAAUCAAUACUUGGGGGACCCAUGAGGAUUUUUUUACCAAAAGCAAAAGAAAAAGAACAUGUUAAAAAGUGAUUUAGAAUUGUAUUUGAAUAUCGUGAUUAAUAUUAUUGUUGGUGUUAUGAUAUAAGUUCAAUAGAAAUUCAACUUCUAACCUAUUUUGUGAAAUGAUAUUUGGGCAUUAGAUUGGGUGUAAACAAAUAUAUUGAAUUGCAAACUUUAUUUUCUUUCCAUUGUUUAAGUUCAACAAUAAAUGGAUGUUUAUUUUUUCUUUAAAAGAAGUUCAUUAGACCAAUGAACUAACCACGAUACUGAAGAAUAAAGGACGGCCAACCAAAAAAGUAAGGAUUUAACGAGCCUUAUACAAUAUCUCUCGAAACAUUAUACCACUUGAACGGUCGUUUUAAUAUACUAAGUUUAAAGUACUUUCGACUAGGAUAAUUUAAAAUCAAAAUCAUAGGCUCCUUUCACAGUGUUGGGAGUUCAUCAUUUUUUUUAUUUUUUUCACUUUGGACAACUAUAACUCUAAUAUUUUGAUAAUUGCAAAAAACAUUGGACUUUAAAGUUUAAACUUUAAACCAUAUCACAAAAAGCAUUGCAAAAUUGAAUUACCACGCUAAGCUUUAAGUGCUUUCGUUUGGGACAAUUUAAAGCCAAAGUCGUAUGUUCAUUUUAAAGUGCUUUUAGUCUAUCACUUCCUUAACUUUUAUAACGUGGGACUACAAUAACUGUAAUAUAUAUUAACUUUAAUGUUACGACUUAAACCUUCAAUUUCUCGUUAAAUAAACGUAGUACCGACGAACGCAUCCAAUUUGGGAAUCACUAACAAACACUUGCUCACUCUUGUAGUCCAAAUCGCCAUAAGAACGACCAUUUCAUAUCUAGGACCUACAACCAGGGGGGACCUUCAUAAAUCUCAAUUCAAAACGUUUUCUUUUUCUUUUGUAUUUAUUUACUUAGUUAAAAUGAGUGGAAUGGAUGUGGAAGUGAGUGCAAAUUAAAAAUAUAAAUUGAAAAUUUUAAGAAAAAUAAUAUGUGUAUAUAUAUAUAUAUAAAGAAAGAUAUAAAGAGUCAUAGUCAUGGUUGGGUGGAAGGAAGGAAGAAGAAGAAGCCGGCUAAGCCUGCUGUCCAUUAAGACUAAGAAAAGUCAGCCCCACCAAAUGAUAAAACCAAAUGUCCAAAAAUUAAUCAAAAUCAAUAUUUUUUUAAUUUUCUUUUUCAAUUCUGAUAUAAAUUUCAAAAGGGGUUAAUUUAUCCUUUCAAACUUUGGAAUCUGCAACUGCCCAUCUGACCCAUCUUUCCAUUUCUCUCCCUUUGCAAUUAUUUUUUGUUUUUCUUCCCCCUUUCUCAAACAGGUAAUAAUCAUUAAUUCAAACAUACAAAGUUUAGAAAUGAAUUUUGUGUGUGUUUUUUUUAAGGAAAAAUAAUUAUUUGUUUUUGUGUUUUGGUUGUAGAAGAAAUGGAGUUUUUGGAAGCUAAAGCUUUGAAAUCAAGUUUCCAUUGGGAAUUAGCCAUGAAAUCUGCUCAACAAGAUGCUUUGGUUGAGGAAGUUUGGUGUUUGAACGGUCCUAAUCUUGUUUCCGGUGAGGAUUUUGAGAUCGAAGAGUUUUUAAACUUCCCUAAUGGCGAUUUAGAACAUGGGUCUUCUUUGAGACUUCAAGAAGAUGACGAUUGUGAAGAGUUUGAGAAGAAUCGGUUCUCUGUUUCGUCUAAUUCGAACCAGUCCGAUGGGUCUCCGGUCGUCGGAGAGGAGGAUUCUAAGUCGCUUCUUGCUGUUGAACUUGCUUUUCCGGUAAAUUUAAUUUCUGGGCUUUUUUUUUUUUAAUGUUUUUGGUUCUAAUUGCUUGAAUCGAAAAUUCAAAAUCAAAAUCCCACUUUUCAGGGCGAUUCUCUGACGGACCUUGAAUGGGUUUCUCAAUUUGUCGAUGAUUCUUCCUCGGAAUUUUCCUGUGCCGCCGUGGCUUUCAACCGCUCCGAACCGGAGAAGAAACUCACCGGAACGGUUAUUUCGUGUUUGCCGACGUUUUUUCCGGUCAGACCGAGGACAAAAAGGUCUAGACAGUCUCGUCAAGCGAAAUCCGCAGGUUCUUCUCUCAAUCAAUCACCGUCGUCGUCCUCCUCCUCGACCUCCUCCGGUGUUUCCUCCGCCGCACCUCGGUUUAUAUUCUCCGACGCCGGCGAGAACGUGGACUUUUUGAACGUAACCGGUGAGCCACCGAAGAAGCAGAGGAAAAAGCCAUCGUCGCCGUCGCCAUCGUCAACGGGUCUUCUACCCACCGGUUCAACUGGUCAAAUUCCGCGGCGGUGCAGCCAUUGUCUGGUUCAAAAGACCCCACAGUGGCGGACCGGUCCAAACGGAGCCAAAACGCUUUGUAACGCUUGUGGUGUCCGGUAUAAAUCCGGUCGGCUCUUCCCGGAAUAUAGACCGGCGUUGAGUCCCACUUUUUGCAGCGGCGUUCACUCAAACAGUCAUCGAAAAGUACUUGAAAUGAGGAAGACGAAGGAAGUUCCACAACCGGCGACCGAGUUGGCCCCAAUGGUCCCGAGUUACUAAACACCAACUGAACCGGGUUCAGUUGAACCGGGCAGUAGAUGAUGAUGAUUAAGAAGGAAAUGACCAAAAGGGCAGAUUUUUGUUGUGACGCUAAAAAGGAAUCCAUUUGUAUUUGUAGGGUUAGGCGAGGAAUUAGAUUUAGGGCAUUUAAUUUUAGUGUAGUAUUUUUGUGAAAUUAAUUUCAUUAAUUUAGGUUUGAUUAGAUAUGCUUAGGUAGGCAAAAGAAGAAGAUUUUUGUAUUUUUGUAUUACUUUAGCUAGAUCACGAAUAUAAAAUACUCUAUUUCUUCUCACGAGAAUUAGUUGGAUCGAUAAAUGUCUAAUACUACAAUAGUUAGUAUAUAACUAUAUUUUAUUUGAUACGUCAUUCAAUGAUUUAUUGCAUGGACUUCACACACUUUCAAUAGUUGUUUAGAUGGCUAACAAUACUACUAUAGUACUAAAAAAUUUCUUUCACUUCAUUUAGUUGUUCUCGAUUUUUUUCUUUUGUUUUGUAAAAACAAUGAAAAAACAAAACAAUGAAAAAAGUGGAAGUGACAUUAUUGAAGCUUUUAAUUUGUUGUUGAGACAUUAUUGAAGGGAUUGUAGAGAGCAAUAAAGGUGAGUGUGGUAUGAGUGGUUGAAAUUAUCUUUACUUUAAGGAGGGACCAAAGUGGUGGUUGAUUCAACAAACAUUAAUGCUCACUUUCUUUGGUAUUGGUCAUUUUGGUAUUCUAACACUUUCAAUAUCUAACUUUGUCCAAUUAAAUUAUUAUCAUCUAAAAAACAUAUUUGUCCAACUCAUUUUACAUACAAAUGCUAAUAUCUUCCUAAUUAUUGCUCACUAUUAAAAAAAAAAAAACUUAUUCUAUAUCAAAUACAUUAUAGCCCAUGUACUUAGAAGUCGUAACAAUUUGAUCUAUAGCAUGUUCCGGAUAACUUAAUGAGCAUAUAGUAUGUCUUAUGAGUAAAGAAAUUUGUAGUUUAAAUCCUUAACCCUUAAUGAUACUCAUAAAAUUAUUUAUUAAUUAAUAACUUAGAUUUUGUAUUUAAAUAAGUGUACCAAUUGACACCCUCCUUCACGUUUCAUUUAGAAGAAUCUUAUGUGAAACUUAUAAAUGAAUAAUUAAACGAUUGAACAUUCAUAAAUAAUCAAUUUAGACUUAAUAUUUCUUUGAAAAUUAUUCAUGCACAUAUUCUAAUAAUCCAUCCAUUUUGGAUAACUGACAUUUGAAAAAGUUUAUACAUUUGAGACUUGAUGCAUAGGUAACUUUUAAAAGUGAUUGUAACCAAAGGUUACAUUGCUUUCUUGACUUAAAUUAUGAUUUUCAUACAAUAUUGGUCAAAUGAAUUUCAGAUAGUUAAGUCGAAGUUUAAAAGUAUAAAUCAAAAGUGUAGAUGACUAUAGAAAUGUAUUUGAAUUGAUGUUAUUAUAGCAUUAUGGCUUUCAACUUAAAUAGUUUCAAUUUGAACCGAUGAUUAUCUAUUAAUUACUUUUAUUUAAACCAUCACUUUCUGUCUUUCUCAAAUUUUAGAGAUUUCAAAAUUUUAAAUUUUCAAAAUUUCAAAAUCAAAGUAGAAUUUAAAAAAGAAUCUGUUUGAACUUGUUGGCAUUUCAUAUGCAUCCCCUCACAACCACAAGUAGUUGAUAUCUUAAUUUCAAUUUCUUUCCCUCGCAAAAUUUAAAAAGAGUUCAGGGACCAACAUGCAAUUUAAAAUUUUCUAUCACAAGGUUUUAUUAAUUGCAGUAAAUACCCCACAUAUUAUCAUAUUUAAUAUCAUAAAGUGAACUCAGAAACUAAUAAAAAUAUUCAUUUUCAAACUCAUCCUGAGAUUCAAAGGCCAAGCUUUGAGUCCUCCCAGCAAAAGCAAUGGCUUUCCAUCAAAACAUAAACAAAAUAUAAAACUUUAAAAUCAUUACUCUAUUCAUUACAGCCAAGUAACGAUGAUGACGACGUGCUCCCUUGAUGUCAUCUCUACACAGUUUAUAAGAAAGAUGAGAAGUUUAUCGAUAUUUCACAUGAUCGGGCCACGUCAGGAUUCUCAACCUACAUACUGUAAUGAUUGGUGUUUAUUCUACAAUCUGUGGAGGUACCACCUCAUUUCGGACGCCUUCGAUAAGGGUAUAAGAUAUCGUCCAAACUCUCUUUUACAUAGUUGCAAACUCUGUUCACAUUCCUUGCCACACCUGAUGCGACAAGAGCUGCAUUUCGUUUAAACCUGGACGUUGCACUCUUUGGGUAUUAGAAUUUUUUGUGACAUUGAUAUUGCUACUAAAUUUGAGGGUAUUUAGCAGUCUAAAGAUGAAAAGAGUUGAAAAGUUCUUGCCUGUUUAGAUACUCGUCUCCAGCCGGGUACGAUGGUUUAUAACUGCGUGGUUGUGGAAAAGCAGGGCUAUCUGCAGAAUACCAAGAUCAAAUUUGAAGAUUAAUAUCUCUGUGCAUGGGUUUAUUGAUGUUGAAAUCGAAGUUUAUAUAAAGAUAGAAGAAUAAAGAAAAAUAAAAAUGAGGAUUCAUGCUACCCAGAAAAAGGAAUUCGUUUUGAAAGCAGAGAGAGAUGAAAGAAUAUACAAUGAUAUAUACCAAAAAAACGUUCCAACAAAAAGGAGUCCGACCGUAACAACACGAAAAAGACCACCUAGAAGAACAAGUCCAAGCUCAUAAUUACAAAAAGGUCACAUCUCGUUACUGAUAUCCACAGUGAGGCACAUCAAACCUAGCUACCUCCCAAACCUCCUCACCCAAUAUCUCCAUUUCUCUACAAAGUCUGUUCUAGUACUCGAAAAUCACCUCCCCUUCGCCCAAUAUCUCCAUUUCUCUACAAAAUCUGUUUCAGUACUCCUCGAAAAUCACCUCCCCAGCCUCCCGCGAAAAAAAAAGUCACAACCAAAAGGAGUUCAACCAUAAAUGAAAAAGACUUUGAUCCAAAAGAACAAGACAAAGCUCAUAAUUACAAAAUGGUCACAUCUAGCUACGAGGCAAUAAACCUAGCCACCUCCCAAACCUCCUCACCUGAUAUCUCAGUUUCUCUACAAAUUCUAAAAUCUCUCCAUACAAAUAUCCCACAGAAAAGCGAAAAACUAUCUACCACAAAAUUUUGGGCUACACCCUAAUGGGGAGGAUAUUAGCACUGCUGGAAAACUGAGAGAUAUAGUAGUCAAACAAAAUUAUAUGGUAACUUGUAGUACCUUCAGUUUUAUUAUGAAUAUGAGCUUGAGAGUUUUCCGCUGGUCUUUUGUCCAACAAUACCUAACAAGCAUAUGUUUAUAGUCAAGAUAUAAAAUUAUAGAAGAAUAUUCUUUAGGUGACAGAAAUUUCAAUUCUCACAUUUGAAAUUUCAAUUCACAUUUAUAUGAUUAAGAACUCAGCUAAGACAGCACUUUAACGUUACCUACCUUAAAGGUUCCAGAAGCUAUAGUUUAAUUUACACAGACAUGCAUUAUACAUAACAAACCUCCAAUUCCAAUAAAAGAAAAUUUUUAGUUUAGUUAUAGAGAUUAAGCUGAGCAACACAAUCCUAUCCAGAUGAGAGCUUAACAUAAAUAUAUUUUAUGCUAAACAUGUCUACAUAAAGAAAUGAAACGUAUUAGAAGUUUAAUUAAGAGGUUAUUCUGUAGUUAGUCUGUUAGAAGCUGUUAUUAAAUUCUCUACUAUUUUAACUGUUGGUUCACUUUCUUCACUUGUGUGUAAAUACCAUUAGGCAAGACCAUUAAUAAGGUAAGAAAAUCUAAUUAUUACAUUUCUUCUAAUAUGGUAUCAGGUGUUUUACUUUCUCCCAACUAGUCUUCAACCUUCCCAUUCUUUCACAUUGACUGUUAUUUCCACCAUGGCUAAUGAAGAUCUCCCUCAAGAUCCAAAUCCUCCUCUAGCUUCAUUCCAAACGCAAAAGAAGCCCAAUCCCACUCCUCAUCGAGAUGCUUCUCCUCACCUAGUAGUUGAUCUUUCCAGGGUAUCUUAAUCCCUACUAUCUGCAUCACAACAACACCAGUCUAUGUUAGUCGAUGAGCCAUUGCCUGGAGAGAACUAUGUUUCUUGGAGUCGAGUGGUGAUUAUUGGACUAUCUGUCAAAAACAAACUCAGCUUUAUUGACGGAUCCCUCCCUCGUCCGACUGGCGGUCUUCUCUCUUCUUGGAUCCUGAAUGACAAUAUUGUUUUCUCUUGGAUCUUGAACUCAAGUCUCUAAGCCAAUAUCGGCAAGCAUUUUAUUUGUGGACUCUGCAAGGAGUACCUAGAUCGAACUCAAAGAGCGAUUUCAACAAAAGAAUGCUCCAAGGAUCUUCCAGGACAUGCUGCUGAUAGAUGCUACAAAAUCCAUGAAUAUCCACCAAGUUAAGUCUAAACAACAACGCUCUAGUAACAAAAAUCCAAAUACAUCCACCAAUAAUGUGAACUCUGUUACUACUCAGUCCAAUGAAAAUCAGUGUCCAUAUACAACUAUCGUUCCCGUGAUGAAUAGUACAACAAAUCCAGCAGAGGCUUUGUUGCAAUGUUAGAAUUUCCUUAAUCAACUCCAGUCUCGACUGCAUCCUCCUUUCAUAUAGCAAGUAAUUUCUUCAAAUUCUUAUUGGAUUGUUGAUUAUGCGUCUACACACAUAUGUUGUUCUAAAGUACAUUUUACUUCCAUUUCAUGAUUGUAAUGUUAAUGAAUAAUGAUCCUAAUAGUACUCAGCCUGAUGCAAUUGACAGUACUAAUCAACCUCAUAGAAGUGACAGAACUCAUAGUUCUCCUCCGAACAGUGAAAAAUUUACUCAUGAGACUGUACCCGAACUAUGUGAAUCAUCACAUAGUCAACAGCAAGAACCAAGUGAAAAAGUUAAUGAAGAGGUUCAAGCGUCCACUAUUUAGCCAAGUCCUGUUGAAAAUCUCCAAUUAAGGUCUACAAGACUCAACAAAUCGCCUUCACAUUUGCAAGCUCAUCAUUGCAAUCUACUGACUAUGGAUCCUUUUAACACAACACUCAAUAAGAUAUACUAUUGACAAAUAUGUUUCAUACCAGGAGUUGUCAUCAUCAUACAACACUUCACACUUCACACUUCAAGUCUCAGCUCAACAAGAACCUAAUUUCUAUCAUGAAGCUAUCAUCCAUGAACAUUGGCGACAAGCUAUGAGAGCUGAACUAAAAGCAAUGGAGUCAAAUCAAACUUGGAGUACAGUGCCAUUACCAAGUGGUGAGAACACGGUUGUCCAUGGAUUUACAAGAUCAAACAUAAAGCAGAUGGAUCCAUAGAGAGAUACAAGGCGCGUCUUGUUGCAAAAGGAUAAACACAACAGAACGGGCUUGACUACUUUGAAACUCUCUCCAGUUGCAAAAAUGGUCACAGUUAAAACUUUGUUAACUAUGGUUGUUUCAAAACAUUGGCCAUUAGUUCCAUUGGAUGUAAAAAAUGCCUUCUUACAUGGAGGUCCCUUUGAGAAAGUAUAUAUGGAUAUGCUUCCAGGCUACAAGCCAUGUGCUACAUUUCAGGGGAAGAAAAUGGUUUGUAAACUUUAUAAGUCCAUUCUAUGGCUUACAACAAGCCUUCAAACAAUGGUUUGCCAAAUCUCAAUGUUUGUUGUUUUGUUGGGAUUUCAACAAUCCAAAGUUGAUUAUUCUUUGUUUGUCAAAGGUAAAGGUGAUGAUUUCAUAGCUCUCCUUGUCUAUGUCGAUGACAUAAUAAUAACCGAAGCUAAUGACACUCACAUUCAAGAAUUAAAAAUAGCUCUUAAUGAAAGAUUUCACCUUAAAGAUUUGGGCUCUCUUAUAUUCUUCCUUGGUCUUGAACUUGCUGGAUCUUCCUCCAGUUUGUUUUAAUCACAGACAUUAUGCUAUGCACCUACUUGAAGAUGCUGGACUUUUAGGUGCAAAGCCAACAUCAAUUCCAAUGGAUCCUUCACUAAAGUUAGUUGCUUCAGACAAGGAUAUUCUCCAUGACCAAACAGCAUAUCGAAGAGAGUAAUUGGCGACCAGACAUCACCUUUACAGCCCACAAACUUAGUCAAUUCAAGGCAAAACCAACUAAAGCUCAUAUGACUCAAACUAUUUGCUGAGAUAUAUAAAAGGAUCUCCUAAAAAAGGGAUUUUUUUGUCCAAAACUCAAGAUUUCUCUAUGCGAGCCUCUUAAAUCACCAAUUCAACCCAAAAGCUUAAGCUGAUGGGUGAAGGAAAAAUUAAUAGAAUAUCUAACAUCCCCAUCACUUGUGGGCUAGAAAUAUAAAGAAAGACCCAAACAAGUAGAAAUCAAUAUUAAAUGGGGAGGAAACAACAAUGUAGGGACUUGAACACAGGACCUCUUGGACCACCUGCUUUUGAUACCAUCUCAAAUCACCAAUUCAACCCAAAAGCUAAAGUUGAUGGGUGAAGGCAAAUUUAGUAGAAUAUCUAACAUUGUUGAUGCCAACUGAGGAUCUUGUUUAGAUAUACCCACUGCUCUAUCACAGGAUUUUGUGUCUUCCUUGGAAAUUCAUUGAUAUCAUGAAAAUCCAAGAAACAACAUACUGUUUCUCGAUCAUGAGCAAAUGCGGAAUACUGUGCAUUAGCCACGGUGUCAUGUGAACAUUGUGAAGUGGUAUCAAGUAUGGCUUAAAAGUCUACUUCACGAACUUCAAAUUCAAGUACCAUCCCCAGCUCUUGUUUUUUGUGAUAAUCAAGCUGCAAUUUAUAUUGUUGAUAAUCCUACAUUUCAUGAAAGGACUAAACACAUCGAGCUUGAUUGUCAUUUUGUUUGAGACAGCAUUAUGGAUGGUUUGUUAAAGUUGUUGCCCAGUCGCUCCUCGAAUCAACUAGCAGACAUACUUACUAAACCUCUUCUAGCAACAUUUUUUCCCUCUAUUAAGCAAGAUGGGUGUUAAGGACAUAUUUUUCCCAUCUUGAGGAGGAGUAAUAGAAGUUUAAUUAAUUAAGAGGUUAUUUUUAGUUGGUCUGUUAGAAGUUGUUAUUAAAUUUGUUAUUAUUUUAACAGUUUAUUCACUUUCUUCACUUGUGUAUAAAUACCAUUAGGCAACACCAUUAAUAAAGUAAGAAAGUCUUAAUAUUACAUUUCUUCUAAUAAAAAACGAAAGGAUGUUUUUUUAUAUUUUUUUCAUCUCAUAGAAAAAUUGAGAUAUUUCAAACCUCUAAACCAACGCAGAAGGGGAGCUCAGCUUGUUUGUUCUGCACAUCAUUGGAUGAAUCUUUCUUUUCUAAGUAGACAGAGUAACCAACGCAAGCAUACUUGAAAUCUGUAAGACUGCGUCCCUCUUUUGAAGCUUCCAACUCAGUUUCUCCCACUAUGUAGUUUGGUACUGCUUAGAAAAAUUAAUGAUUACUGUAUAUCCCGUAAAACUUUAUUGUCAAUAUGCUUCACAUCAGAACAGGAGUGAUUUACAAAAGUAAAAGAACUAUAUAUAUUGAAGGGAAGCUAACAGUCUAGCACAAUUUUUCAAUAGUCGAUAUAAUGUCGGUAACUAGAUAGAUUCCAAAGCAAUUCCUCUACAAGAUCCUUUUCAACAUGUGGAUAAUCCUAGAUACAACUCAUCGCAAACUCAAAUGAAUGACGUGAGCGUGUCCGCUCAACACUGCUAGAGCAACUAGGGAGAUAUUUAUGACACCAAAUCAUCCAAAUUCUGAACUUUUUUGUUUUUAAUGAGAAACCUGGGAGUAUAUUCAGACAAAGAAAAGAAAACGACCUAGGGGCAGGAGAUGGGAUCCACACCCAAGGAGGCCAAAUACCAAAGCCUUUUGAAUUGUUAGUGAUCAACCACAUAAGAUAAUAAAAAAAAUCUUGUUGCUGUGAUAAAAAUAAAUAAAUAAAAUAAAAAGAUAAUUACAAAAUAAAUGUGCAAAUUGCUGUGACACCACCGAGGGCAAUGAGGUGUUCAUUGCUAAAAAAAAGACCCAAAAGUGGAGAUCUUAUUUUCAAACAAUCGCUGGUUUCUCUCUAACAAACUUUGCAUUUUUUUCUAAUCAGCAGUCCCACAACUUAGCCCUGACAACAAAUCCCCACAACACCUAGCAUGCGUUGUUAGCCGCCAGCCAUUUAGAACACUUUCAUUUGUUACCAAAUUGUAUUGAAAAUACAUCUUGACUUAAGGGCAAUAAAUCAGAUAACAUUUGGUACAGAAAUCUCAUUCGAUCAUACUGUUUUUUACCAAACAAUACGCACAUUGGCAGUGGUAAAACGCAAAGGUCCUUUUCUACCUCAAUAUUCCAUCCCUACAAUCAUUGAAUUCACAAAACUACCAUAUCCAGAUACGCUAUAGACACCACAAAUGUUCUGGGUUUUAUUUUGCUGUAACAUUUUUUAAGUUUAACUACUAGUGUCCAAACCAGUUUAAAUGCAUUGCGCAACUUUGACUAAUCCCACAUGAUAUAUUAAGAUCAUCUUAGGGAAAUAAUGAUAAAUAUUUAGACCAAGAGAUUUCUUGAUGUUUGUGUGGUUAAAUAUCACAUUUCUAUGGCAGCUACAGUAUAUCUCUGGAAGUGGCUUGAAUUCUGCUGAUUUCUUUUUCAUGAGUACUCCUAAUUUCUCUCAUACUUUCCAACUUCUAAGUGAACUAACAUAGCUCAUUCUACCCACUCUUUGUUCAGCUAAUAGGCUCUUCUUUUCUUGCGUGUUCAUAGUACCAACACCAACCAGCAACCAUGCUUAGCCCUUCUUCUGCAAGUGUAGUUCAUUCCUCACUUCAAUCCCAAAAGAUUCCUACUCCGUAGGAUAAUGUUCACAAAUUUUCUCAGGUGUCUGUUCAUUCAAAAUACACAGGUUGCUUCUUAAUAACUUGAUUCAUGACACAUUUGCCCUCCUCUUUCAUCUAUCUAACAUUUUCUCUACUGUCUGGAUUUUGAUAUUCAGAAAUGGGGCUUCUUUGAUCCAUUUGCUCUCCUCUUUAUGGCAGCGUGACCAAAACAACCUCAUUUCAGCGACCCCCCUCACCCAAAAUCUUGUCAAAAAGGAGAGGACAAAAGGCAUCUUCAACGGCAUUUGGAAGAGCAAAUACCCAAAAUAAAAUAUCAAGUUCUACUUUUAGGAACUUAAUCACUCGAGCAUAAACAUUGGCGUUCCCUGGGAUGGUGUUCCCUUUCCAAGAAAGAGUCAAAAUCAUUCCUCACUUGCAUGUAUACCAUCAAUCUUUAAACUUCCAUCCUCUCCACUUUCAAGUAGAAAAUUGGUGCUUGAAAUCCUCAUUGACAAUCCUUACUAUAAUCAUGAAAAGAAAAGAAACCCUUUAGCUUACACUUAAGAUCUUCCGAAUUGCCAUUCUCUUGUUUCAUAGAAUUAUGCACAACCACCAUAGUCAUAGAGAAAACACCAAACACAGGUGAGUCGAUGCAUGUGGGAAAAUAACACCAGGCUCCUUGAGUUUCAAGAAGCGACCAUUGCAGAACCCAAAAUAAGAGAUAAAAAACAACAAUAUACAAUAACACAUAACAAAAUAAAAAAGUAAUCAACACCCAGAUGAUAAAAAAUGAAAACGAAUACGAUUCUGAACCAUUUACCCACUAAUCAAAUUCAAUCUGAAGCGAAGCAUGAAAGAAGCAAAGAGAAAUGGGAGAGGUACCUUGGUCGAGAGUUUUGGACAAUCCAAUGCAAGUGGGUGUCUUAGAUUUGGAUUUUUGAAGUGAAGAGUAAUAGAGGCAGCCCUUACAAGACUUGCCUUUCGAAUCUUUAACCCCAUUAGAGGUAAGAUUAGGUGCUUGAUUUUGAACUCCAUCUGAUUCAUCCAUCUCGAGGUUCUUGAUGACUUUCUCUGGCUAUGAACAUCAAAUACAGAUACAAUAGAAUAAGAAUUACUGGCGCAAAGGGUUCGUCCCCAAAAUCUCUCUCCCUCUCUCAAAUACUAGGCUAUUAGACUUGGAUGAAUAACACUAUAAUGGAAGGUUUUGUUUUUUGUUUUUUCUUCUUUUUGUGACAGUGGAUUAGUAUUUAGUAUAAAAUUUUGGGGUAUUGCUUUUUCUUUCUUUCUUCUUCCUCUUUUUAACAAUAGAGGGGAUGAAUUUGAGGCUAAAAUGCUAUAUUCGUAUUGGUUUCAUUCUAUGUAUAGGUCCUUGAAAUUUAGUAUUGGUAUUUUCCCAUCGAUAUUAAAUUUAGUCUCUCUUUUUUUUAUUUGUUUAAACAAAAUAAUCGAUAUGUAAGAUUGAAAUUGAAAUAUAAGUUUGUUGAUUUUGAUAGAGUUGUGUAUCUUCGUUUGAAUUGUUUCAUCGAAUUCAUUAACUUGAUCAAACUAGAUAUUGAUGUUUGGGUCUAGUGCAAUUGAACUAAAAAAUAUACCAAACCCAAACACGUUUAGAACUAUGAUGUAAACUCUAUGAACAAGAACCUUGAGAUUGAAAGCCAUAGACUAAAACUUCCAAAAUUUAAAGGAUAUCAAAUUCUAAAGACUAAAACUUUCAAGUUUUGAAUAUUAUAAAUAUUUUCUAAGAUUCAAUUUGAAGGGCACCCCACUCCCUCAAACCAAGUCGAAAAUGAAAAUUGACUAAACAUCUCUAACACGGGAUAACAAAACUUGAACUUAAUAUUCAAACAAUAUGUUUAAAUUUAACAUGUCUAUCAUAAACUUUAGUAUGUGCCUACACAAAUAUAAAAUAUAAUAAUUUAUGAAGUAAAAAAUUUCUUUACAAACAAUAAAACCAAACAAGUUAAAAGAUAUUACAUCAUAACACAUUGGGUGAUUGGUGAACCAUUUGAGAAAUUGAGACUCACGUUUUUUUAGAGUUGCAUGCACUUCUUAGUGAACUAACACAAUGUGGUUACGACCAAUAUGAGAGAAUGAGACAAUUCUCAUUUCAUUGCCUAUAAUUUUUGCAUAAUCUAUAAACAACACUUUAGAAAUAUGAACGGUUGCGUAAUUCAAUAGUUCAACUAUCCUUGAAUAAUCAAAUUCAACUAGGAUAUUUGAUAGAUUGAGUGAUAGAAAUACUUUUAAGAACAAAUUCAAUCAUAUACUUUGUUAUGGAUAACAUAAACAAGUAAAAAAGAAUUAUCGUAGACAAAGAAAAAAAUUAUUUACAAAAUAUAGAAAAGAAAAGAUUUUAGGAAUUUAAUGGAUUUUGAUAAAUUUUGUAAAUAGUUUCAAUAUUCUCUUAUUCUUUAAAAUGAAAAGAAAAAAACUAUUUUGUAGAGAAAUUAAAAAAAAAAAAAAAAAGUAUAAAUUAGUCGUAAUAGUCUAAUAAAUCGUAUAAGUUGAAAAAUAAGAAAAUGAAAAAGAUGAGUUUAGGGGCAAAAUAAACCGUAUAAAAUGAAAGGGCGAAAAGCGAAAGAGGGUGCAUUAGUAAUUUCACAUGUUCUAGGGUUUCCACAAAUCUUCUACUUAAACUCCUUCCAAUCCCCUCUUCCCUUCAAAUCCCCAACCUCAGCGCUUCCCCACGCUCUCCAUCUAUUACAUCUUUCCACCAGUUUUCUUACUUUUAGGGUUAGGGUCAGGAUUACUGGCCUGCUUCAUACUUCUGAUUCUCAUGUUCUCCUCCGGCCGAUGAUUUAGAAAUUUUGUCCGUACCAUCUGAGAAGUAUUUCGAUGGAGUACACAAUCAAUCUUUAUGUUCUGAGGCCUUUUCCUUGUUUGUUUUUCCCUCAAUCUUAUUUCGUAAAUUUUCUUUGUUUUUUUUAAUCGUAAGGCAAUAAAUUAGAGUCUCUGAUGCGCUUCUAAUCUUUCCGUAGCGUUUUCAGCGCUGUACGUUGCCGACAUCGAUCUUUGAGAGAUGAGAUUCUGGCAUUUGCUUCCUUCAUGAAGUUUAUGCAUUCAGAUUUUCUCACAUUUUGAUUCUAUUUCUCUUUUCUCUUUUAUCCCAUUAUGAUUUUAUCAUUUCUUGAAGAUUAUAUUAUUCGUGAUGUUUAGUUCUCCAUAUUUGUUUGAUUAGGAUGAUAGAUUUGGUAAGGAGUCUAUGAUGAUAAACCUUAAGGCUUGUUUCUCAAAACAUUCGCAGUGGCCGCCUGAGAGCUUUCGCCUUCGCCAGGCUUGAGAGCUUCUGCUGUUUUAUCCUUCCUUGGAUGUCUGAGACUCUGAUUAACAUUUCUUCAAUGUUCUCCAUAAUCUUAAUAUUACUUUAUGAUCCAAUCUUAGUUUUCGAAUUCUCCCUUGGCACUAGUUUACGUUGAUAUUCAUUGUUCAAUUGUUGGAUCUGUUCUAAAUUUAUGUUAUAAUUUGAUUUCCGUUUACUGUUUGAGUACCAUAGGAUUUUUGGGUCUUCUGAUAUCCACUGCCAUUGGGAAAUCAUGGAACUGUUGGAUUUGUUCAUGGCUUAUCUUAAAUCUCCGUUUUCAUUGUGCUUGGAUUAUAAUUGUUGGGUUUGAAUUUCCAUAUCUUUUGUUUCGAUAACAAUGAUGAUAUCUUGAAGGCUUGUUUCUCAAAACAUUCGCAGUGGCCGCCUAAGAGCUUUCGCCUUCGCCAGGCUUGAGAGCUAAUGCUGUUUUAAUCCUUCCUUGGAUGUCUGAGUUUUCAUGAAAUCCUUUUUUAUUUUACUCAACCAAAUCGUUUUUUUAUUGUUGAUGAUGACACAUUUCUCUUUGGUUGCUUCUUCCGCAGCUCCUGUCUUAAAGUACUCGCCUUUUGUAGGCUUGAGAGCUUAAUGCUGCCUUCUUGUAAUGUCUGAAACCAAUUGUUUCCUAUUUUUUGAUCCUGUACAUAAUUGAAUUAUCAAUCUUUGAGGUUCGUUAUGAAUAGAAAGAGGAGUUUACUUGUUUAUAAGUUGUGAAUUUAUGAAAUUUUGUUUGGGGUUGAUGGAGACAUGACUUUCCCCAAGGAUUAAAUAUGCAUUUUGGUUGUGAAUGCAUGAUUUAAAACCCUCCUUGAGCUCACAUCCUCAGCCAAAAAAUCAAAAGUAAACGAACAAUCAAGUAUCAAAUAUAAAAACAGUCAUGAAAUUGUUGAUAAUAAAAGAGCUUUUGUUUUUGGCUUGGAUUACAAGAGCCGCUGAAGAUCAGAGUAUACGUACUAGCUCAAGCCAACAAGGAAAUCGAAUGUAAAACUAUAUUGAGACUCAAGGAAAGAAAAUGUUUGACGGACCCUAUAAUGUGGGGAAGAGAAUCAACAGAUAAGGCAGCUCUCUAUAAAAGACUGGAAAAGAAGAGGAUGUUGAUGGAGAUCAAGAAUAUUAAAUUUAUAUAUAAAAAAUAAUAAUGUGUGAUCCCAAAGAUAAUAUACAAAUAAGGGUAAGCAAAUCUGAAAUUAAUGAUAUAAAGUUAUUUUGAUACAAAACCUAAUAAUACUGUAAUACUCCAAAAAGGUAUUGUAAAGAUAUGGCAUUUGGCUAGUACACUCUUACAAAUUUGAGCAUUCAAGUUUUAAAAGUGUCGAAGAUGAUGAUUUGAAAUGAAAUUUGAAGAAUUUCUACAUCUUUCUCCAGAUCUUGUUUAUAACAAUUUCCAAACAUAACAGUUACCAUGGAUUGAAGGGUUAACCACUUUUUGUCAAGCUUGAAAAUAGAAUGGAUUCACAUAUACUUUUUAUCAAGCUUGAAACAUGGAGUGGAAGCUCACAUAUCAUAUCAAGAUUGUCAUGUUGACUGGUUUCAACAUAGACAACUUCUUCAAGUUCUUUAUUUGUAACUUUUGUUUGUUUUUAAACUAAGAUGAAAUAGUCUUAAUAAAAUUAAUUGUGAUGGAUGUUCAAGAUGUCUUGAGUGAUUUGCUUAGUUUUUGAUGAAUAUAAAUAUGUAAAAGAUAUAUAGUAUUAGAAAGAAAAAAAAUUACUAACUAAAUCGCAAUUUUUAAAGAUGAAUGAAAAAGAUUUAAUAAAAUAAUUGUAAUCACAUACCGUAAACCAUUUGCUAUAAUUUUGAAGAAUUUUACUCUUUUUUUUUUUUUUUUUUUUGGACACAUUUUCAAACCAAAACCCUAAAAUUUUGCUAUUUAUACCUAAUUUAUCUGUCUAUUGUUGAAGGCCCAAAAAGAGCUCAACUCUGAUUAUGAUUUUGGGCUUAGCCCAUUGACUUAAAUUAGGAAGGCCCAGACGGCCCGCACCAAUAGAAUCCGUUUGAAGUUUGGGCACUGACCGGCCCACUAACUGUCAUUUUCUUCCCUAAAAAAAAGAAAAGAAAAAGGAAAUAUUAUUAAACAUUUUUCUUUCACUAAAAUUAAAAUAAAGAUUUGUAUUGUUUGGUUAAUAUAGUACUCUAAUUUAAAACACAAAUAACAUAAUUAAACUAUCUAUAGCGUGUUUGGCAAUUUACUUUGUUAUUUAAAAUAAUUUUCUAACUUGAAAAUGUAUUUAAUUUUUUUGUUGAGAAAAUAAUAAAUCAUUUUUUAAUUUUGAAGUUGUAUUACAAAUAUCGAACUAAUAAAAAAAAUUAUCAAAAUAGUUUUUGUUCGUAUUCAAUGCGAAACUAUAUAUUCUAAAAUUUAACUUUCCUUAAAUGAUGAAGAUCAAAUUUACAAUUUAAGGAGAAAAAGAUAGUUUUGAUAGAUGAAAUAGUAGAAUAGGAAAAGCACACAUUUUUAGGCAGGAAACAAAAAAAAAAGAAAGAGAGAAUGAAUGAUGAAUAUAAUGUUUAUUUAUGAAAUGUUAUGGAGUGAAGCCCAUUUCCCUUUUCCAUUCAAUUCUCUAUCAAAUCAAAACUUCCAAUGACUUUAGGAUUUCCAUUGAAAUUGGUGCACCUAACCUAUCUUAUCUUUACCCUAUACAUACAUACCCUACAUUUUAUAUACAUGUACAUAUAUAAAUAUAUAAUAAAUUUAUUAUGAUUUAGAAGGUCUCCUUCAUUUUCUAACAUUCAAGUUGAAAUAUUUUGAACUUAACGCAUUUUGGGUUAAACUGUCGUAGUAUAUCUUAUAGUUAGUCUUAAUACUCGUUUUGGGUUUAAAGAGUAACAUGCAUGGAUGAACUACACGGUUAUAAAUAAAACUCAAAAAACUAAGUUGUUACGUCUAUAAGAAAAAGUCCGAAACCAAAAGUGUUUUUUUUCAAAUAAUUUAAUUAGUGGAUGAGUUUUGAUAAUUAGUGUUUACUAAUUUCAUUAAUUAUUAUCUACCCUAGUUUAUUAGUCUGACCUAGUGUGACUUGUGUUACAUAAUGUUAAAUAAUUGUUUUGUAGAAACUAAAUAAUCACAAUUAUCACUACGCAAAAGAUAGGUUUGAAUGAUAGUUUAAUAAUUAAAUUUAUGAUUUAAACUUUGAAUUGAACGUUUUAUUUUAUUAUUUUAAAUGAGACAAUAUUAAAUAAUUCUAUACUUAUCAAUAAAAAAAAUUUGUUCAUUAAACGAAUAUUAAACGACGUAAUGUUUUCAUGGCAAAACAACUCAAAUCGAACUAAACACACCUUCUAACUCAAAUACAAAAAGUUCAAUAAAUGUAAUAACAAAUAAAACAUUUAGUGUAGUGGAGAUGAUUAGUGAGUAUGGUGAAACGAUUUUAUUUAAUUGUAAAAUUUUUCAUAAAACUAUUAGAAGAAUCAAAUUGGUCGUUAUUUUUGUGCGCUCAUUGCCUCAAUUCAUAAUCAAAUCAAACCAAACCAAAUGAGUCUUUUUAGGGACAAUACAAAUUUGUAUCAUUGAAUUGAUGUACCAUAAUUCUUGAUGGAAUAGAAAACUCCCAUGUGGGCAUUGAUCGCUCAUCCGACCCACUUCUCUAGCACAUACGAUUUGUUAGUGCUAAUAUAUGUAAAAAUUUUGCGUAAGUGUAGAGCCAAGUUGAGUAUAAUUUGAUACCCAAGUUUGUACAUGGAGUACGUAUUUAUCUCAGUUAAGCACAUAAAGAAUUACUUACCUAUUUAAGUAGUCAGUACAAGCCAAUUUCUAAGGUGCUUAAGAUUGUAGAGUGCCAACGACAAGCUUGACUCAGUCAUUUCUCCUUUGAUAGACAUCUACAAGCUCGACUAGUCGACUCAAAACUCGAGGGUUUGACUUUUUAUCUAAAAAGAAUUAACGAAAUUGGUCGUUUCUUUGAUGCACCUAUUGCUUCCAUUCACAAUCAAAUCAAACCAAACAAAAAGGAGUGUUUUAAGGGUUAACACAACCUAGCAUGCAUUGAAUUGAUGGCAUCAUAUUCUAAAUCAUUUAAAUUAUACCUUUUGUCAAUAUUGUCUUCAUUUGUUCAUCUCCUCGACAACCUCCCAUUUAAUAGACAAUAUUUGUACUUCCUCAAACAACACCACACAUUGAUGUUUCAUAAUACUCAACACAACUUAUCAAAAUUAACAAUAAUUUUAUACAUUAAUUCAAAUACUUGGACUCUAUCCUAAACACACAUUAACCCAUCAUAUAAUUACAACUCAUAAACUUAAUUAUGUCAUUCAUAAUUGCAACCCAUUAAGCACAUUAACCACAUGUUAGAAGAUCAUUCAAGAAAGACAGUGAAAAGAAAAAUCAUAGAUUGAAUAAUGUAUAUUAUCCUCUUUAUCUUUUUUUAGAAAGAAUGAAUAAUAAUGAAUAAAGGGGGUAUAGAGAUGAAAUUAAAACGUAGUAGAAUAGAAUAAUAAAGAAAGUGUGUGUUAUAAGUGAAUAAAAGGAAAUUGGGAGUGUGUUAAGGAAGGAGGAGAUUUUUUUUUUUUAAAAAAAGAAUGGAAUUUAUAAAGAUAACUUGAGAAUAGAGGAAAAUAUAAUAUAAUGUGUACAAGUGAUUGCCCUAACUUUAUCUUCUCUAUUUCUAAACCAUUUCACACCUUUAAUAAAAAAAAGCUUCCAUUUCCUAUAUCUAAUUUCAAUUCAACCUAAUAAUCAUAUUUUCUAUUUUAUUUCAUGAAAUUAAAUUUACUAAAUUUAAGAUUUAUUGAAAAUAGAAAUAUUUUAAUAUAAUUAUUAUUAUGAUUACUAUUAUUUAUAUUGAAGCAUAGAAGGAAAUUAAAAAAGAAAAAAGUAAUGGGAUCAUGUAACCGCCCAACUGCCAUAACAGUCUGAAAUUACAUCAUCAUCUUAUCUCAAAGGGAAAAACGAAAAGACCAUUCAAUCUCUUACAACUUCACCUUUACUCUUAAUUCAUUCCCUUUUUUUAUUAUUAUUACUUUCUUAAUUUUUCACUCAAUUUUGUUUCUUACUUUCAAAGUUUUGUUUUAGAAUUUGAGUUCCUCUCAAUUUUAUGUACUUCGUAUAACAUUAUAUAUAAGAACGGUCAUCCAAACUCCUCUAAAUUUAGGUUCACAUCCAUUCAUUUUUGUUAAAUUUAUGAUAGCCAUUAUAAGUUUGUAGUUAUGCAUGUAGACCAUAUGGAAGAGUAUAAAUGUACUACUUUAUUAACUUUAUAGAUAAGCGUGUACAAGAGAUAAAAUUGUUUGUAAUUUAAGUCAUAUCCUUCUUUACUAUUAGCUUAAUCCUUGUUUUUUUUUUUGUAAUAAUCUCGUUCUAUAUACAUUUAUUUUAACAACAAAAGUGAAGUGAAGGUUUGAACCUCAUUCGUUCAUUGAGAAAACUUAGAAAUGUUGUAUUUUUCAUAUAACUUUUUUUUUAAAUUAUUAUUAUUAUAUACAUGUAUUGGCUUCAAUCCGAGAGAAAACAAUAUAUAUCUUUUAAAAAAUAAAUAAAAGUUUGUCACUUGAUAAAUUCUUAUAUAAUUGACUAGGUUGUAUAAAAAAGUUAGGUGCAACCCAACGAACAACAAAAUAUAUUAUUAUAUAUCAAGAAAAAGAUAAGUUUAAUUUUUAAGUCAUUUUUUAAAAAAAGAAAAGUAUUUGAAAAUUGAAAGGAAAAGAAAUAUGUAGAUAAAUGUCAAUUUAUUAUUUCCUUUUCUUAAAACUGUUUUGAAAACAAUAAAAAAAUGAUUUAGUUUUGAAAGGAAAACAUUUAUUUACUUAUAAAAAAUGAUGUUUUUUACCCCAUAAAAUGUUUAUAAAUAUAACAAAGUUUUAUAGGAAGAAUAUCGGAUGCAUCUAUGUAGAAAAUAAUUUUUAAACUUGUUUUAUUUUUAAAAUAUUUUAUGUGAAUAUCUUUACUUUUAUCAAUUUUAAUAUUUAUAAUAAAUUUCUUUAAAUAAUCAUAUCAAGAAAUGGGUAUUAUUUAGUGAUAAAAUAUAGAAAGAAAGGGAACACACAUAUCUAAAACAUUGAAUAAUAAAUAAAGAGCACACGAUGAACCAUGGUAGAAAUUUAAUUUUAAUGAAUAUUCCUCAAUUUAGAGAAUUCCAAACUUCAAUAAAUGACGUUUGAUUUUGAUUUUUUAUUUUUUUAUUCUUUUGGGAAAGCAAAAUUAAAAUUUUCAAUUACAAUGAAUCUAUUCCCAUUUAAAUACUCAAUAAAUAAAUAAAUACUAUCAAAUAAACAAAUAAACAAAUAAUAAUAACUAUUUAUCUCAAUAUAUUCCUUCAAACUUUUCUUCCUUAAAACUCCGACGAUAAUUCGCCCUUUUUUCUCUCUCUUUUUAAUUGCCCAUCAUGUGCUCAUUUCUUUAUUAUAAAUUUUAGAAGAUUCUUUUUUUCUUGUUGUUUUAAAUAAAAUAAAUAAUUUAUUUUGUUAUAUUUAAUUGGAACAUUUUAUUUUAUUUGCUAUAUUUAAAAGUAAUCCAAAAUGAGUUUUUUUAUAUAAAUAAAUAACGUGUUUCUGAAAAAAAAGCCAUUAUUAUUAUUAUUACUUUGUUUAUAUGGAUAAUUGUUAAUGGCUUGAAAAUAUUAGUGAGACUCACACUUCAUUAUUAAAUGCAAUAUAAAUAAAUAAUAUCAAUGUCUUUUUCUAAAUAAUGCAAAUCAAUUGUUAUUGUGAUUUAGUUUCUCUAAAGAAAUUAAAUAAGUAAAUUUAAAAAACAUGUGAUGUGUAAAACCAAUAAUAAUAAUAAUAAUAACAACAACCAUAUACAAUUCUUCAACCUAUUAAUUAUUUAUUAUAUGAAUAAAGAAAAAAAAUAUUAAUUUAUACCUCUUGUAUCAAUUUAAAAUAUAAAUUACUAAUUUAUGUCAAUUUAACCAACAAAGUUUUAUAUAAUUUAGGCGGUCAAUUAUUACAUUUCAUUUUAAAAUAUGAGAUUUUUUAUUUUAUCAAUUUAAUACUAAAGUUAAUUUUUCUUUCAGUUCAUGUAUUAAAGUAUUUUGUAAAAUUGAAUUUGAGUUGAGAUUCCAAUCUAGGAGUUGGAUUGAUACAAAUUAUAAAUUUUACGUUAUACUUAAUAAAACUAUUAAAAUUCACGAAAAAUAAAUUGAUAUUUUUCUUAUUAUUAGUUACUAAAAAUUUCAAUGAUUAGUCUAAAGAUAUCAAAGAAUGAUGUGAAUAUUCGAAUAAUUUAAUCUUUAAAAUAAAAUAUACCUUUUCAAGUUUAACAAUAUACACGUAAUAACAUAUUCGAACUUCUAACUUUAUGAUAAUUUUUUUUACCAUGGAUGUUUAAAAUAGCCGUAAAUGAUUUGAUGUAUAUUUGAAAAGUGAUAAAAAGAGAGAGGGAGAGGAGAAAAUAUAAUAGAAAAUGGCUUUUGUAGGAAGGUAAGAAUAUUGUGUUUGCUCCAUUUGCAAUAUGGGAAUCUCCACUUGCCUCUCAACCACUCUCUUUUUUUUUCUUCCUUUAUCAUUGAUUCCAUUGCACCUUUACCCUAUAAUAAAUUCUCCCAUUUUAUUUUCUUCCUUACAUUUUCUAUAUUAUAUAUUUUUCUUCCCUAAAUUAUAGAAAGUAUUCUUUAAUUUUGUCUUCUAUUUUUAAAAAAAUACACCUAAUGAUCUUUCCAACGUCAAAAGUUUCAAUAUUCUUGUAUACGUGUUUUCGUUGUAAAUGUUUCAAAAACUAUAUUUAGAGAAGAAAUUCUUUAGAAUUUAGUACUUGAAUAAUGAUCGCCAUGUUAUUAUUUUAAGUCAUCGUUACAUCUUUAGAGUAUUAUUUCUAUCGAGUCUUUUUGAAAUAAGAGACAAAGUUGUAUUUUUCGUAACUUUUUUUCAUUUUCUUUUUUGUUGAUUAAGAUUAUAGCAUGUUUGUGAAUUAUAUUAAAAUUGUUAAAAUUACCCCCUUUUAUGUUAAAAAAUGUCAAACACCUUCUUAAUCAUUCAAAUUUAUUUAGUAUUUAAUUGAAAUUGAGUUUCAACCAUUAAGAUUAUGAGGAGCGGUCAUAUUAUGAUUAUGUAAUAUGAAGCAAAAAAAUGAAGUACUAUAGAAAAAAAACACUCAUUUAAUUAUUUAGAUGAGUAAUUUUAACAAAUACACCGUAUGUUUAAAUAAAGAGAAAAUCCCAUAAAACGCAUGAAGAUAUAGAAGUCAUGUUUUUCGUUAUACAACGCUUGUUAUGCAAAAAGUUGUUUGGUUUAGAUAAGUAUUUUUAACAGAAAUAUGUUCGUUCAAAUCUCUUCCUUUCAAAAGAGAGUCUAGUAAUGUUCUUUCUCUAAGUAACUUGUUACGGAAUAGAUUUUCGUUCGUAAGACUGGGAAAAUGUGUGAAAAACCAAUUCAAUAAUUUGUGGCAAACAACAAUACACAGUUUCUUUUUACAGCAUUAGAGAAAGAAAGAAAUUGAAAGAAAAAAAAAGUUAGAAAGGAGUUUGGUAAUUUAUAUUAUAUUCCUUUUUUGUUUUUAUCUAGGCUUAUUUUGAAUGGGUGUGUAAAAAAAAAAAAACUAAUAGAAACUAAUGGUUUAAAAAAUGUAAUUAGAAUAAAAAUGUAUUGAAAAAAUUCAUAAUGGAUAAGUGACGAAAUUAACUAUUUUAGGAAUAAAUUUAUAUUUCUUCAUCUCUUUUUAUUUUAUUUUAUUUGUAGAUAUUGUCCUUACCAACAUAAUAUAAAUUAAAAUAGUUGUAAGAAAAAAAAUAUUUGAUGAAUAUUUGUCAAAUGCAGAAAUAUUAGAUUAAAUAGAAUUGUCUAUAUUAUUAAUGUUUGAUGGAGAUUUUGUUUGUGAUAUACUGAAAAUGUCAAUUCAGUGGAUGGAUACCAAAUCAAUAGAUUUUAAUACCAUAUAGAUACAAUAUGUAUUUUCUUAUAAAAAUAAGAAAUAUGAAUUUAGAUUUGAUAAUUUGGAAAAAAUAAAUUGGAAUUAUUUUGAGAGUAGAAAAAAAGAAGAUUAUAUUGAAUAAAAAAGUGGAAUGGUGUUAAUGAGGAGAUAGGAGUAUGGUCUAAGAUUUGGUAACAGUUACAAAUUCCGAAACAUAAUGUUUUAGAGAAUAAAACACAAACCCCUCUCUUCCACUCCAUUAUUAGUUAUUUUUUUUUAUUUCUUCUUCUUCUUCCCUCUUUAUCAACAACUCAGGGACCCACACUCCCAAUUCAAUUUAAAUUAACUUUUAAUUAAUAUUAAUAAAAAAAAUUAAAUUGGAAAUUGGCCUAAGAGAACACAUAAUUGAAGUGACGUAGUAGUUUUUUUUGAGAGUUAGAUGUUCUAAUUUGUAAUUGGAACUGAAAAUUAACGAGAUGGUGUUAUAAGUAACUAAUCCCUUUCUCAUACUUUACGUCACGUGACUUCCCUCCUCCUUCUUUCUUUCCCCCUCUGUCGGCGCUUAUUUACUCUUCCGCCACCAUCGCCACCACCACUCUCUUUCUCUCUCUUCCUCGUGACGACGCCGCCCUCAACUUCCCUACCUCUCUCUAUAAAUACCCACAAAAAGAAACAAAAGGAGAACUCCCAAAUUAAAAUCCCCCCAAUAUGAAGAACCCCAUUUUCUCUCACCGGACCAUUCUUUUCCUCAUUCUUUCAAUUCUCUUCUCCCUCCACUCUGCAUUUGCCGCUCAUGAUUACGCCGACGCCUUGUCUAAAUGUAUCUUGUUCUUCGAAGGCCAACGAUCGGGCUUCUUGCCUCAAGAUCAACGAAUGACGUGGCGUGCCAACUCCGGCCUCGGCGACGGUUGGACUUAUAAAACAGACCUCACCGGCGGCUACUACGACGCCGGAGACAAUGUUAAGUUUGGUUUUCCGAUGGCUUUCACCACCACGCUUUUGUCUUGGAGUGUCAUUGAGUUCGGCGACUUCAUGCCGCCGGCGGAGUUGAGGAAUUCGUUGGUUGCGAUUCGUUGGGCCACGGAUUAUCUCCUCAAAACGGUGUCGGAGCCUAAUCGGAUUUUUGUUCAGGUAAUGAAAAUUUCUUGCAGUAUCGGAGUCUUAGUGCGGUUAGUGGCAGUUUGGUAAAUUGGGAGAUAUUUAUGGGUAUUUCUGUUUUCGUUAUGGGAUUACUCAGCCGAAUGUGACCACGUGGAGUCUUUCCGUCUUUCUUAUUGGUCGGCGUUUUCUUUACUGGGCCCCGCUACGUCCCACCUAAAUUUUCCUUUUUCUUUCCUUUUCACUAUUUAUUGGGAAAACUUAAUCUAAUUACCAAUACUAAAAUAUAAUUUUUCUGUUUGCUACAAAUACCAUUUUGCCCUUUCUACUAUAUUUCCUCCUCUUAUUUUGUGCUUUACCUCUUGCCUUCAAUUUUCACACUCCUUUUUAGUAAGAUUUAAACGACAAUUUAUUUUCAUUUUUCUUCCCAUUUUAUAAUUUUCUCUUCACUUAAUUCAAUCGACAUGCAUAAACUAACCAUACCUUCUAAACAUCGAUUUUAAAAUAACUUACAUAUCUUAACUUUCAAAUCCAAUAUCUUUUUUCAUAAUAAUAACUUUUUUUGUUUGCAUUAAAAUCAAAUAUGUCUUUUUGUCCUAGAGGUAACGAUUGAUCUUCCAUUCUUACCACUGAGUAUAAAGUACUCCACACAUCUAGAUGUUUAAUUACACGAUGUCAGUGACAAUUUUUUUUUUCUUUAUGUAAUUUGAAUGUGAUGCAUGCAGAUGGGGUAUAAUAUGAAUGUACCGAAAUAUGUUAAUCUUAAAAAUAUAUGUUGAGAAGAACAAAAAAAUGAGUGGCCUGGAAGUAAAGUGAAAGGACCCCAGUUGAAUUCCGUGAAUGAUGAAGGAGUUAGGACCCAAAGAAAGAGACUGUCCUAACCGUACAUCAUGUUCCCUACUAUUUAAGGGCAUAUGACCCCCAACCAACCCAUCUCUCAUCAAUGCCUCUCUCUUCCGCAUUUUUUUAGUUUUACUUUUUACGUUCUAAUUACCACUAAUUUUGUGAUUUAACUUAAAGGUGGGUGAUCCGAGUGCGGACCAUUCUUGUUGGGAGAGACCCGAGGACAUGGACACGACCAGAACCGUGUAUGCCGUGGACGCACCAGGGACUGCUUCAGAUGUGGCGGGGGAGACUGCAGCAGCAUUAGCUGCUGCGUCGAUGGCGUUCCGGUCGUCGAACCCAGAGUAUGCAGAGACGUUGCUACGAAAUGGAAUUAAGGCAUUCGAGUUGGCUGAUACCUAUAGAGGAGCUUAUAGUGAUAAUGCUAAUAUUAGAGACGGUGUUUGUCCUUUCUACUGCGAUUUUGAUGGCUAUCAGGUUCGACAAUUUAAUUAUACUUUGAAAUGUAGAUUAAAUUUCUUUUUUUUUUCUUUUAUAAAAAAAGAAAUUUUCUUUUAAUAACAAAAUUAAAUAGAAUAAAAAAAUUAUUAUUUGUAUUUAGAUGCACCCGUGAUGGCAUAAUUUUGUCCUGUUCACCAGACAAUUUGACUUGUUUUUUCUUUUCUUUUCUUUUUCUUAUUUUGUCAUUUAUGGACUAAAUAGGAAAAAGUAGAAGAAAAAAUUAGCACUACUUUCUCACGUAUUUACAUAAUUAUUUUGUUGGAUGAGAAAACUUAAUAAAUCAAAAUUGUUUUGUUAUCACAAAAGAAAGAAAAGUUUAGUUGCCACCAUGCAUACACAAACACAUACAAAAGUAUUUGAAUUAUAUGGAUGUGGGACAGGAUGAGCUACUAUGGGGAGCAGCUUGGCUAAGAAGGGCGAGUCAAAAUGAGUCGUAUUUGAAUUAUAUUCAAGACAAUGGUAAAACUCUUGGUGCUGAAGAUAGCUACAAUGAGUUUGGAUGGGACAACAAGCAUGCUGGUCUUAACGUUCUCGUCUCUAAGGUAUUUUUUCUUUCUUUUAAUCUUAAUCUUUCUUAAAUGACAUUGUUUAUCCAAAAACGUCGUCCUUUUCUGUUCUCAGGAAGCACUUGAAGGAAACAUAUUCACACUCCAAUCAUACAGAGCCUCGGCAGAUAAUUUCAUGUGCACAUUAAUUCCGGAGUCUUCUUCUUCCCACAUCCAAUACACUCCCGGCGGCCUCAUCUACAAGCCCGGCGGCAGCAACCUCCAACACGCCACCUCCAUAACCUUCCUCCUCCUCGCCUACGCUAACUACCUCGAACGCACUUCCUCCACCGUCAACUGCGGCAACGUCGUCGUCGGUCCCGCCACCCUCCGCCGCCAAGCCAAACAACAAGUCGACUACAUCCUCGGCGAAAAUCCCAAGGGCAUCUCCUACAUGGUCGGCUAUGGCAACUACUUCCCUCAGCGGAUCCACCACCGCGGCUCCUCCCUUCCUUCUGUACACGACCAUCCGCAGCCGAUCGCUUGUAAGGAAGGGUCGGCGUACUUCAACUCGGCAGAUCCGAACCCUAAUGUGUUGGUUGGAGCCUUAGUUGGUGGUCCGGGGGAAGAUGAUGUGUAUGAGGAUGAUCGGGCGGAUUUUCGGAAAUCGGAGCCGACUACUUAUAUUAAUGCGCCUUUUGUUGGAGUUUUGGCGUAUUUUGCUGCGAACCCGGGAGGUUGAUUUGGAUUUUCCGGCGUCGGGGGUCGCCGGAAAAAGGAAGGAAGUUUUGUGGGGUUUCUUUUUUUUUUUUUUUUUUUUUUUUUAGUUUAAAAAAGGGAAAAGGAUGGUCUCUCAUCUUUGGUGGUUUUACGAAGAGAGUAGAGGCUUAAUUUGGUAAUUUUACUUCAAUUACCAUUGGAAUUUUAUAAUACUAAAUUUUACGUCUAAAAAAGAGUCCGCAUUCCACAAUGGAUGGGUCAAUAGCUAUGUUGUUGUGACUAUUUUUUUUCUCUUGUAUUUCCUUUACUUUUUUACUCGAGAGACUGAGUUAUAUGGAAUGUAUUAACAAAUGUUUGUGGUAGGAAUUACUAAAACAAUAAUACUAUAUGAAUCCGUGGAUUUCAACAAAAAUAAUAUUGUAGGGUUGUUUUGCAUUAAAAAUAUACAAAAUUUUAAUUUCAUCUAAUUUUAGUGGUAAUUGUAAUUAUGUUUAAAUAUUUGACUAUAUUUUUGUAUAACAUUCAAAUGGAUUAACUUAAACAAUAUUUUUCAAGUACCAAGUGGAAUUCAACAUAAAUAAGUAAAAUUCAAGCUCCCACUUUAACUCUAAAAUUAAAGAUUGUGUUUAAACAAAAAUUCCACCUCAACUAUUUUAAAAUAAAACAAGAGAGAUUAAUUUAAUGAUCUCAAGAUCCGUUGUAGUCUAGUUGGUUAGGAUACUCGGCUCUCACCCGAGAGACCCGGGUUCAAGUCCCGGCAACGGAAUCCUUUUUUGUUAUUAUUUUAUAACAAUUAGGGUUUUUGUUUUAAUUUAUAUAAGUAAGAUAUUUUUAUUUAUUUAUACCUUUUUCAGAAUAAAUGUGAAGCAUUGGAAAUUCUGCUUUGCUUUCCCUGACAAUGUUAAAGGAGGAAAAAAAAAAGUAUUAUUGAAGAUAUUAUUAAUUAUUAAAUACAGCUUUGGGAGUUGGAAAAUAUUAACUUAAAUUAGUUUUUUUUAAUAUAAUUCUUGAAUUAAUAUACACUUCAUUGGUAUGUGGCUUCAAAUUCUAUUUUUAUUUGUUUUCUCCACUCGUAACUUGUAAUAUCAUUUUAGUCAAUAUAUUUUAUUAUUCUUUUAUUUUUUUAAUGAAAAUUAUACAUUUGAAAUAUAUAAGCACUCUAAUCAAACUAAGCUAUAGUAAUUAAAAUAAUAUUUUAAUAUAUAUAUAUAUAUAUAUAUAUAUAUAUAUAUAUAUAUAUAUAUAUAAUAUCUAUAUAAUACGUCAUAUUCACGAUUUUCUUCUUUGUUGAAUAAAUCGACGAAAAUGUACCUUUAUAAAAAAGAGAAAUGUCUUAUUGAAAAAAACAAGAAGAAACGUGUACAAUAAAUAUAAUUAAGAGGUUUUUUAAGAAUAAUAUAAAAAUACAAAAAUUUAUACUUUAUAUUAGAAUAAACUCAUUAAAGUUGAUUUUGCCAUCAAAUGUAAAUAGUUUAUUGGUUGUUGUUUAACAAUUUUCCUCUAAUCAAAAUCAAAUAAAAAAUACAAUAUCGCUAUUUUGCUAUAUUUUGGAAACGGUUUUUUAAUUUUUUAUUUAAAAAUAUUUUCAAUUCAUUUUUAAUAAAAUUAAAUGGUAAAAUUUUAGAAACUUUAUUAAAAAAACGCAUUAAAGUUAAUUUUUAUUCUAAAAUUAAAAUAAAAUUUAGUAGUCUAAUGUUAUACCUCUAAAUCUUUCUAAAAUAUGUUUAGAAAGGGUUUGAUUAUUAGUAAAACAUUAAGCCCAUCCAAAGACAGCCCAUGGACCUCUACCUCAAACUCCCAUCGCUAAAAUAAAAACAAACUUGAAUGAAUUUUAAUAUAUAUAUAGAAUUGGUCUAAGUUUGAUCAAAUAGUUAGUUUAGUAAUGUAGAGAUAUUUUGAUAAUCACUUACAAUACGAAUAUUGAUCAUAUGAUGAGAGCCCUCCAUGACAUUCUUUACACAACACUUUUCCUAAUAUUGUGGAUGCAUAAAUAUUUUAAAUUCGUUUAUUUUGCUACUAAAUCUAAAGAACUACUAAUUAAAUUUAAGGAAAACAUACAAAUAAUAAUUACCCACAAGGGUAUAAUAGUCAUUUUGUUAAAAAUGAGGGACAAAAUGGGAAGUAAAGAUUUUCUCUAUUUUAUAUAUAUAGUAAGAUAAAUAAAUAAAUAAAAGGGUAAGUAAUAGCAAGAAAGAAAAAGCUAUGGAAGGUUGCCAUAAAACCACAUUAUAUGGAGAUGAAAAUUCAAUGCUUCUCUUAAAAGAUUCAUUAAUAGUAUCUUAAAAACAUAAAUGCCUUUAUUUAAGAUGAAAGCUGCAAGUUUAUGAUUAUUCUCAAGAAAGAACACCUACUUUGUUGGACUAAAAGAAUAGUUAAGAAAAUCAUAUUUCUUGACAAUGAAAUAUGAUAAUUAACUUACCAUUCUAUAUUUGAUUUAUUUAAUGGUAAAAGUAUGAUAAUUAAUUAAAUACUAUACAAUAAAAAAAACACAUUUAGAUACAUAUGUUAUGAAUGGUAGGACGUAUGGGGAUCAUUGAAAGCAACCAAAUGUAAAUGGAUCAAGGGUCAGAUCAUCUCAUAGUAAUCAACAUUAUCUAUGGAAAUUGUUCUCCAUCGAUAUUAUUGGGAGGAUGAUAUAAUUGUGUUAUAUAUAUAUAUAUAUAUAUAUAUAUAUAUAUAUAUAUAUAUAUAUAGUUGUAAAGACGAUUUAUCAUUUUUGAUUGAUGUUAAGCUCUACUCUUUUUUUGGUGUACAUUUCUCCAAUUAAAUAGUUUUUUUAUCAUUCUUAGCUGUCACGACAAUUAAUUUUGGACUUUUGUGUUACGUGAAAACAAAACUCAAAUAUUUAGGGGAUCUCCUGACCGAACUUUGUAAAUGUCGGAAGAUUCACCUAUUCCCAACGUCGUAAAGUAAAACGUUAGAAAAAGUGUCAUUCAUUCCUGACAUUUCACUUAUGGCGUCGGGAAAAAUUUAAAAUAAAAUAAUAAUAUCUCUUUCUCCGACGCCAUGAACAUUAAUGUUAGGGGUUAGUGGACCAUUUUCGACGUCUAAACGUAGACGUCAUAAAUGAAUAUCUUCGCCGACGCUUGCUUAACGGUGUCGGAAAUGGUGGGACAUUCCUGAUGUACGUUUCGCCGAUGUCCAUUUCGAUGUUGAGAAUGCCUAAUUUCUUGUAGUGUGAAAAUUUAUUGUUAAACUAUUGUGAAGUUUACUUAACAAUAAAUAUGCACUGUAACCAAAAUUAAGUUAAUUUAAAAUUUAAAAGUAUUACUGUGAAGGCAUGUGGCAACACACUAGUAUAUUAUAUAUGAAAAAAAAUUAAACCCACCUUUUAAAUUGUUUGAAUAUAUCAAAUUUUAACCUAAAUUUUUACUUUCAUCAAAUUGUACAACUAUUAUUAUCUUUUUACGAUGUGAAUGGAGUAGAGGAAUAAAACGUCAAACUUUGAGCUUGAUACUUACACUAUAUAUACCAAAUUUCUGUUUAUUUCUUGCCCCCGAGUAAAGUGUAUAAGAAAAAAUUGUGACAAUUAUUAAAGAAUUGUAACACUUAUCAAAAUUUCGAAAUUUAAGCAUAAAUUUGAUAUAAAAAUCAACAUUAUCAAGUACUUAAUGCAUAUAUUUCUUUUUGUACCAUUUUUUUUCCCUCAUCAUGUUUACAAGUGGUUAGGAAUUUGAUCGAUAAACCACACUGUACUUUUUUUUGCAAAAUCGUGCUAGCUAUCAUAUUGUUCUUUAAACGAACUUUAACACGAACCGAACAAUACCCAAAUAAUUUGUGAAGCAUUUGUGUAAAGAAACAAUGAAAUUUCGUAUGCACAAAGCAUACUCCCUCCCAUCCACACAGUACUAUUAACCACACAUAUUUGCAUCAAAACAAAUAAAACCAAAAAGGUCUAUUUGGAAAUGCAUCAGCAUAAUACAAAAAUAAAACAAAAAUCACCUCCAAAAUGAUGACGUGGCAAGAUAUCUACCGUUGUUCCAUUGUGAUCACAAAUCUCAUCAAAUCCUCUUACUGAACCAUAGCCAUUAAUCCCUUUUUUUCUUCCUCUCUUCUCAAAUCAACACAGAAUCAUAGCCUCAUAUUCUUUACAAAACCAUGAAUGUGAUAACCCUUUGUCCAAUUCCUUCUCUUUUGUUUUUUUUUUCAAUUUAAAAAAAAAUAAUUACAUAAUAAUAAGAGAAACAAAACAAAAAAAAGCUAAAAGUCCAACAAAAAAAAAUGUAGAAUUGGAAAACCAAAUCAAUCAACUAGUUUGGUUUGGCCAUAUUAGAAGAAAACCAGAACGUAUUGGUUCAUAUAGGUUUUUUCAUUAAAAAACCAACCAAUACCAAACCGAGAACCAAGUGAUAAUUAAAAAAAAGGAAAUGUAAAAAACCGAGAACCAAAGUGAUAAUAAACUAAGUCAAGUAAAACUAGUUUAGAUUCAUUUUUCAUAAAACCGGAUUGGUUUGGUUGGGUUUGGUUUUUAUGGAGUAAAAGCAUGAGGAAGAGUGAGGGGGUGCCAAGUCAGCAAAGUUAUCAUCCAGGUGGCAAAGAAAUAUUGGAAGAUGGACAAGGGCCUCAAAUUGGCAAUCUUUAAACAAACACAAAGCAACUAUAAAUACAAAGAGAAUGGCUUCACAUUUGUGGCCACGGAGGCAGCAACCAGAUCAGAGAGCGUUGGUGAAGAAACAAAAAAGAUAAGAUCUUUUUUUUGAACCUUACCUUCGUUUCUCAACACUCUGUUCAACCUCCUUCCUUCAUUUCAACUCAUCAAUGGCUUCUGCUUCUCUUCUCAAAUCCUCCCUUGUUCUCGAUAAGUUCGAGUGGGUUAAGGGCCAGUCCCUCCGCCAACCCUCCGUCUCCGUCGUCCGCUGCCACCCCACCGCCGCCCCAUCCACUCUCAUCGUCCGCGCUGGCUCUUACAAUGAUGAGUUGGUCAAAACCGCCGUAAGUAUAAUAAUAUUCUCUUUUACACUCCAUUCCUCUCUUCUUUCUCACUUCCAACUGAUGUUUUCAAAUAUCAAGACAAGUUUUGAAUACUUAAAAACACUACGGUUUUGAUAUUUUUUAUAUAAAUAAUUUGACUGCAUGAGAUUAUAAGAUAGGAAACGAUGCCUAACUUUAAAUAGAUGUUUUUCAAUAUUACUUCUAAACGUGAAAAUUAUGGUAUGAAAAUAUGGAUAGAAAAGCUAAAACAAGACCUUUCAACUUUCUAAAUUUUUGCUUGCUGAAACCCAGAGGUGAUGGAUUGUUGUAGGAAACUCUGUCAUCUCUAUGUAGCUCAAGCAGUUGUCCAGUAAACCUCUGUCAUCGAACAAUUUUAUUUUUUAAAGAAAAGAUAGAAUUCUUUGAAUCUUUUUGUGUGUCCAUUCUAUUUUGAACCCAUUUCAUUAAUGAGUUACUUUAUUGUAUUUUUCACUUUCUACUCAUGUUUCCAUAAACCAUACCAAGUUUUUAAAACUACUUUUACAUUUAUUUAUUUAUUUUGUUCUUAAAGAGACUUGAAAACUACAGGAACAAGAUGAGAAUAAAUAAAAAUAAAUUUAAAAAUCUUUACUAAAUGGAGUCUUAAUCUUUCAACUUGUGUUGUGUUGUUGCAGAAAACUGUGGCAUCUCCAGGACGUGGAAUUUUGGCCAUGGAUGAGUCAAAUGCAACUUGUGGAAAGCGUUUGGCUUCCAUUGGAUUAGAAAACACAGAGGCCAACCGUCAAGCUUACCGAACUCUUCUCGUAACUGCACCCGAACUCGGCAAGUACAUCUCCGGUGCUAUCCUCUUUGAAGAGACUCUCUACCAAUCCACUGUCGAUGGCGAGAAGAUAGUCGACGUUUUGGUCAAGCAAGGCAUUGUCCCUGGAAUCAAAGUUGACAAGGUAAGACCAUUGUCCCUAUAUAAUCCUAAUAGAAAUUCAAAAAGGCAUUGGAAAUUUUGAGAGUUUGAAUUCAACAAAAAGGCUUGGCUCCGGAAAAGAAAAAAAUUAACCUGUUUUCGUAGUGAACUAGCUUGUUUGUUUUUAUUAACAUAGAUUCCUCUGUUUUUCCAACGUCUGUAAAAAAAUAAACAGGGUUUGGUGCCACUUCCUGGUUCCAACAACGAAUCGUGGUGCCAAGGUCUCGACGGCCUUGCUUCUCGUGCUGCUGCUUACUACCAACAAGGCGCUCGUUUCGCCAAAUGGUACAAAUCAUCAUUCAUUUCAGCUUCAUUUAAUAAAAAAACCCGUCUUAUUUCAAAUUUUUUUUAUAAACUAAAUAGUUAUCAAGCGUUUUCGAAAUCCCAAAACUUGAAAACACUGACAAUGUUAGUUUCCAGGCGCACAGUGGUGAGCAUUCCCAACGGCCCAUCAGCCCUUGCCGUCAAGGAAGCCGCCUGGGGUCUUGCUCGCUACGCUGCAGUCUCACAGGUCUCAACAAAUCAAACUUUUAAUAAUACCCCAUUUUGAUUUAUUAUAACUUGAUUUUGAAUUUGCAAUUUGCAGGACAAUGGGUUGGUUCCGAUCGUCGAGCCGGAGAUCUUGCUUGACGGUGAGCACGGGAUCGACAGAACCUUUGAGGUAGCACAGAAAGUUUGGGCAGAGGUUUUCUUCUACCUUGCAGAGAACAAUGUUUUGUUUGAAGGAAUUCUUUUGAAACCAAGCAUGGUUACUCCUGGAGCUGAGAGCAAAGACAAAGCAAGCCCUCAGACAGUUGCUGAGUACACUCUUUCUCUUCUCAAAAGAAGAAUCCCUCCUGCUGUUCCUGGAAUCAUGGCAAGUCAUUACAACAUAUCUUAAACUUUGAACGCUUAUUACCCUUAGAUGAUAUAAAUUAAAUUUAUCUUCCUCUAUUAACUCAAACUUUUAGAAUAAUUGGUGAUUUAAGAUGGUAUAAAAGGAUGUCAUCUAGAAAGUCAUGCGUAUUAGUUAUUAGCUCAACGUUUUAGGUAUAACGGUGAUUUGAGAAUUAAGUUGAUGAAUUGAAUGUGGGUUGUUUUUCUGUGGUUGUUGUGGAACAGUUUUUAUCAGGUGGGCAAUCUGAGAUAGAGGCUACAUUGAACUUGAAUGCGAUGAACCAAGCACCAAACCCAUGGCAUGUGUCCUUCUCAUAUGCUAGAGCUCUCCAAAACACUUGCUUGAAGACAUGGGGUGGACUACCAGAAAAUGUGAAGAUCGCACAGGAUGCUCUGAUUCAACGAGCCAAGUCGAACUCCCUCGCCCAGCUUGGGAAGUACACCGGUGAGGGUGAGUCCGAAGAAGCCAACCAGGAUAUGUACGUCAAGGGCUACACAUACUAAGCUUUUCUAUAGAUCAAGAAGAUGAAAGAAGAAGAAGAAGAAGAUGAUGAUGGUUGAAGACUAAUUGCUAUGUUUAUUGUGUUUAUGAUGAUGAUGCUUUAUAGCAAUUUAAAAAGAACAAAAAAAAAAAAAACUAUUUUUGUGUAUUCUUAGCAGCUUAAUGAACAUUUUGGUGAUGAUUUUUAGUUUAGUUUGUCUUCUUCUCAAAUCCUAUGUAAGAUGCUUGAAUUCGCAUUAAUCAUGAGCAUAUAUAAUAAGGCUUUUCCUUCGGUCUCAAGAUUU